rnacentral:lncRNA from 1 species
UGUUGUUUGUUUGUCCUUUUCAAUUUUUAGCCAUGGCGUUGUCGGUUUGUUUUAGAUUUAUGAGUUUGACUGUCCCUUUGGUAUCUUUCGUCCCUUUUUUAUUCUGAUGUGUGGACCACCUGCCAUGAUCAAUUUUGCUUGCCUACCGAACCUCAAAAAACUUGGGUACACACCCAAGAUGAGAUUUGCCUACUAAGACCAAUACUAAAUAUAACUUAUUAUUUGUAGUUUCAAUGACAAUAUAUAUUAGUGUAUUAUCAUGCCAAUGCGAGGUGAUGUUGCAAAGAAAAAGCUUGAAACGGUAGAAUUCUGUGGUAUUUAUUUAAGAUUUCGUUGCAAAAUUAUAACCAAAAAAAAAGCAUUUUGUCCUUUCUUUGAUAGGCAUUAAAUAUAUAAUAAAACCACAACAAAUAUUAUUAUGUAACAUAUUAGUCUAUAGAAACAAUUAAAAAAAAUAUGAUAAGAUAUUAUUUGAUUAUGUUUCUUGAAUUAUAUAAAAAAUUAACAGAAUGUUAAUAUAAACAAAUAGUAAUGUUAAAAAUAAUUCACUUUACAGAUUCUUUGUUUUUGUUCAGUAUACACUUUCUCUUGAGGUCAUAACUUCAAAAGACAAAAUGGGGCCUUAUGAUAUGAGUGAGGGAUGUUUACUAGUGUGGACGCAAAAACAAGGAAACUACUAUACUUGUGUAUAAUGUAUAUAAAGGAAUUUGGCCAAUAGAAAAGAGAAACAUGUUAUAGGGAAAUCUUUUUUUGAAAAUGUGUAUUUAUUUGUAAUAGGCUGAUGAGUAAAAGUGUGUGAAAAGUGCUACAUUAUUUUUGAUUGUGGUAAUGCAAAUAUUUGGUGCAAAAACACAAUAAAAGUAUACAAUGCAUAACAUAUACUUGCUAUAGUCAUAUUAGAUAAAAGAAAAGAAUUAGAUAUUGAUGGGAAUGAACAACUGUUUUUGAGCUUAUUUAUGCUCAAUGCUCUUCAACUUCGUACUUUAUUUGGCCUUUUUAAUGUUUUUGGAUUCGAGCGUCACUGAUGAGUGUUUUAUAGACGAAACGCGCGUCCGGCGUAUAUACAAAAUUUGGUCCUGGUAUCUAUGAUGAGUUUAUUUAUCUUAUUGUCAGAACAUUUUUAAUUUUUUUGAAUUGUUGAUUUAUACAAUGAUAUUGAAGAUGCAAACAAAAAGAUUGCAGAAAUUGUAUCUUUAUUGAAUAGGCGGUAUUUCGAAAUUGAUAUUUUUCAAAUGUCAAAUGUUGAAAAUAUCAAUGAUAAAAACAAUGGGUACAUGUUAUGUUUGGUGUAGGCAUUGCAUAGAUAUUAUAUAAAGUUUUUGUUACAAGCUUUUCUAUUAUUUUUAUCAAAAUUCUUUGAAUAUUUUGUACAAUGGGUGUUGUUCUUAGUAACUUAUGGCAAAAACAGACCCAGUUAAACAUGACUGAACUGAUAACAGAAGAGAGAGCAUUAAGUAGUCCCUUGUGUGCCCCUUGCAUUUACCUCUAUACAUUCAAAAAUUGGUUUUCAUUCUCAUAACUUUAAUUUGUCAACAAAAUGUUAUACACAAAGCUUUAAUAUAUCCUACAAAAUAUAGAUCAAGUUUAAAUUAAAAAGUUGUAUUAGCAGUGGUCUAUUUCAUUUCCAUGUUGGAAAUACUAAACAUCUGGAGAACUCUUGUGAUUAGAAAUUGUCCUUCCAGUAUUCACAAAUAAUAAUAAUAAACAAAACCCAAACAGUUUAAUCAUAUACAUAUUUCUUUCAUGAGCAAACUUACAAUGACAGUGCCAUCAGAAGUCCAGCUGUUAAAGGGGAUGGACCAUCUGCUUUCAGUUUUCCUAUAACAAAAUUUAUAAGAAUCACAAUUAUACAUGUAUAAAGUAACAUAUAUACGUAUGUCAACAAUUGACAGGUACACCAUCGCUAUAGCAAUCCACAAAGUUUGAAACCAAUUUAAUCUAUGAGAGACGCAAAAACGUUUUGCUAUCUUCAAGUCACAAUAACUUUCCAUUGAUUUCUGGAAAAUAUACGACUGAAGUCAAUGAUAACAGUACAUUGCAUGUCAAAAGUGUUAAACAGUUCAUUUAUUCAUUUGAAGUUCUGGAGGAGAUUAUACCAAUAUUAUCCUAAAGACUUUCUUCCAUUUUUUCUAUAUAAAAUUUGAGAUCCUAUAAGAUGCCUGAUAUAAAUAAAACAAUGUUUUGAUAACUGCUGAUGCUGAUUUUUGCUGGUAAAAAAUUGGAAACAUCACGUUUAAUAACUUCAUGUGUCCGAAGCGCUUUUCUGGAUUUACUUUUAUCAGGAAUGCUCAAAGGCAAAACUAUCAUAUCUAAAAUAAAGAAAUACAUCAGGAGAACACAAAAGUGUUUUUUAUAUUUUAUGUUUAAAACUGUUUACUCCAAUUUGUUACCAUUGUCUGAGUUAUGUUUUAUUGAUCAUUUAACGAUUAGAACGUUUAAAAUGUAAUGAUUCAAUCUAUAUGUCGUGAACAUGUUAUUAUUUUGUACAGGGUAUUACUUGUACAAACAUUUUAUACACGUAAUUACCUGUAUGAUGCCAUCGUACAAGUUAAACUUGUACAAAUACAAUUGCACAAGUAGUUACAAGUACAACUAUUACUGAGAAAAAGAUGAUAACUUGUACAAAUCAUAAUUCUACCUUAGCCUAUUUGAUGUUCUCAACAAACAAUUUCGUAUUAAACAAAUAAUUUAUGGCUAAAACUUAAAAGUAUAAACUUUCAACAUGUGUGGUUUUUUUUUAUAUCAAGUAUAUGAGCAAAACUUUAAAAAAAACUUAAAACUAAAAUGUAAAGAUGGAAAACAGUGUAGAACAAAAAAAUCAUAAUGAAAUAAUUAACUCAUGGCGUGACAACAACUCUUCUAAUAAAAUUGAGAAUGGAAAUGUAAAAUGGUAGUCACACUUAAGUCAAAUUGAGUUCCAAAAAGACAGUAGCCCUAACAAGAUAUUUCUUACGGCAGUAUGGUGUUUUAAGAGUAGAAGAAAUUGAAAAAAAUCAAUCUCAAAAGAGACGAAAUGUCUAUUAUUGGACAAUUGAUUCACUUUACCCUUUGAUAGAACAGCACCUUCCAAGAGAUGAUUAAAAGAUUUAAAAAUUUGAGACAUAUUAUAAUACCAGUGCAAAGAGUAGACCGAGGUCCGGUUGACUGUAGAAAUAUCAAAUGGAUACUAAUGAGGAACAAAAGUUGGAAUCAUGAUUGUUUUUUUUUAGUCGAAAUCAAAUCGAAACGAUUCAGAGACAAUGUUGGACAUACCAGAGACCACUGAGGUUAACGUCAUGAAAGCAGUACAAUUGCUUUCUUUAAGUGGUGACCAAGGUCAUGUUUACUGCAGCUGUCGGGGUGGCAGUAAUACAGGCACAUGUAAAUGCAAACGAUUGAGCUGGCAAUUCCAGGUGAUAUGCUUUCUUGUCUUUUGCAAUUAAUAAAUAGGUUAUUGGAUUUAUAAGGUUUUACUUUUGUUUCCAAUAUGAGAUAUUACAUUUGCAACUUUUUAUCCCGAAUUAUGUUUGAAAACAAAUGAUAGAAAGGUUUUAUUUUAUUUUUGCUUUUAGCGACUUUGUCACUUUGCACCAGCAGUCCGUAUGUGGCAACAAGCUGUUUUUGUACAAGAAAUAACCUGUACAAAAUAAUGAAAUGUACACGACAUAUAUACUCCUUUGAAAAAUGCACAUAAUAGUAACUUAGAACACACAAUUCAAAAAUGUCCAUGAAGAACAAAUCGUGUAAUCUCAUAUGGGGCUAACAUUUUCCUGGGAUUUCUCAUUACAGUACAUUUCUAUCUGCUGAUCCUUUGCGGAGCACCUGAGAUCAACACCCCCAAGCUUUUCUAUUAUUUUUAUUAAAAUUCUUUGAAUAUUUUGUACAAUGGGUGUUGUUCUUAGUAACUUAUGGCAAUAACAGACCCAGUUUAACAUGACUGGACUGAUAACAGAAGAGAGAGCAUUAAGUAGUCCCUUGUAUGGCUCUUGAAUUUACCUCUAUACAUUCAAAAAAUGGUUUUCAUUCUCAUAACUUUAAUUUGUCACCAAAAUGUUAUACACAGUGCUUUAAUAUAUCCUACAAAAUAUAGAUCAAGUUUAGAUUUGGGUGGCAUCACUUCUACUUUUCUUUAGUUAUGCCCCUUUAUAAAGUUAUACGCAAGUGGGGGCAUCAUCUGGUGUCCAUGGGAAAAUAAGGCAUGAAAAACUAAGGAUUUUUUUUACCCCAGGCAUAGAUUACCUUAGCUGUAUUUGGCACCACUUUUUGGAAUUUUGGAUCCUCAAUGCUCUUCAACUUUGUACUUGUUUGGCUUUAUAAAUAUUUGGAUAUGAGCGUCACUGAUGAGUCUUAUGUAGACGAAACGCGCGUCUGGCGUACAAAAUUACAAUCCUGGUACCUUUGAUAACUAUUUAUCCAGUAUCAAUGUUAUCAUUUGUUAAAGUUUGUGCUUCAAUCUCUUUUUAAAGAAGAAACAUUCAUGGCAAGUGAAUGAUAUUUGAUAUACAGUUGUACAAGCAGUGGUCUAUUUCAUUUCCAUGUUGAAAAUUUGGCCCAGCCGGAUUUAAAAUUGUGCAGAGUUUACAUGUUAAAGGUUUGAUAUUAGGUAUAUUAAUAUGCAAACCAAGAAGAUAUAAUGCCAUUUAAAUUUCAAUAUUUGCAAGGUACUUUUGAAGUACACAAAAAUUCAACAUAAGUUAUUUAUAAAAUUUAUGGUAAAUAAAACAUUGACUAUUAUCUCGCCUGUGACUGCAUAUCUUGUAUUAUGUCAAAAAGGUUUUGCCAUUUACAAUUACAUUCUCCCUGACCUCAUUUUCAUGGUUGAGGGACUGCUAAAAUCAAAUGAAUUACUCAAUCAAGAUUAAUAGGAUAAAGAUACUUGGUAUAUGGGGUCCUUGCAAUAACAUUAACGGUACUAAUUUUCCUGCAACAGAUGCGCAUUUCGACAAUACAUGUCUCUUCAGUGAUGCUCGUGGCCAAAAUAUUUGAAAUCCAAAACUUAUAUAAAAGAUGAAGAGCUAUAAUUUAAAAGGUCCAAAAAGUAUAGCCAAAUCCGUGAGCAAGGUAUACACCUCUAUCAAGAUAGGGGACCAAUGUGGAGUACUUGUUGUAUUGUCUGUAAGUUAAUAUAAGGCCAUAACAUAAGCAGUAAGUCAAUCAAAUUUAGUUGUUUUUUACUAAUUGUAUGUUAUAAAUGUCUGUCUUUUGGCUUCAUCUGACCUUUACCUCACCGCUAUCUUUUGUGUUUUAUGCCGUUUCUUUCAUACUAUGAACAAUUAUAGGACUGCCCAAGAUACUGAAAGAAACAGGUUAACUAUAUUUGGUGUCUGGAAUGAUUGAAAGGGGUUUUUGCCCGUUUGACAGCGCUUCAUUGACUGUUUCACUGAUGAGUCUUUUGCAGACAAAACGCGCGUCUGGCGUAAAUGUUAAAUUUUAUUACUGGUAUCUAUGAUGUGUUUAUUUACCCAUAUUUUUGACAUUUUCCUGAACAUUAUGUUCACACAUUGUUGUCAUAAAAUAAUUUUAACCGACUGUCAUGCAAGAGGUUUUAAUAGCUAGCUAUAAAACUAGCCAUAAGCCACUAUUUUCCACAAAAGAAAAUGCCUGUACCAAGUAGAAAAAAAAUAUGACAUUUGUUAUCCAUUCGUUUAAUGUGUUAGGGCUUUUGAUUUUGCCAUUUGAUUAGGGACCAUCCGUUUUGAAUUAUCCUCGGAGUUUUCUGAGCUUACUUUUCAUCAUCAACAAUGAUCAAUAUUUCAAAACAAAAUAAGAUGACAAUCGAAAUCAUUGAACAUAUAACAACUGUUAACAUGUAUCUACUUAGAAAAAGGAUUGGACACCAAGAUGUUUAGGACGAGGAAAAGGUAUAGAUAUUGAUGUCCACUUUAACUUUAGAACUUUCCUUUAUUACUAAGCUUGCUUUUAAUUGUUGUUUUAUAAAUUUAGAUCUACGUCGAUCUGUGAAUGAAAAUCGAAGAUAGGUGACAUGCAUCUUGGGAUGAUAUAGAGGCAGUAACAACAGCGUCAACUAAUGGUACAAAGAUUUAUAUUUCAGAAGAAAGGAUAUUUGCAAGCUUUAUACCCUGUACAUGCUGUAUACAAGUUUCUUAUAUUACAUAGUUUCCAUCUGUCUGAUACCCAUUGUCCUUGAUCCUCAAGGUUAAAUGACUUUCUUAAUAGACACACUUUCUUUGUACCAUUAAUUUCUUAUUUAUUUUUGAAUAAUAUAGUUCCUCCACGAAGGUAUCAACAGCGCAGUAAUCAGCAGUUAUAUGUUGGAAAUAAUUAUCCUUGAUAUGGUGAUUAUUAGAAGCUAACUGUUUAUAGUAAGCUUUAAAAUUUCAAAAUACUAAGAAUUUUCUUCACUAGGAAUAGAUUACCACUGCUGUUUUGGAGAAACGUUUUUAAUUCUGUUAGAAAAUUAAUACGACAUUGACAAACAAACUUUUAGUAACAUCCUAAAUAUAUUUACCAGUUAAUCAGUUUGAAAGAUAAAUUCAAACUGCAACAUGUCAAAAGACAAUGGCCAUUGCGGAAGGAAAACAGGCUUCUUCAUCUAUUCUUGAAACGUCAAUCCAUGAUGUAACAGAAAUAAGUGUCUAAAAAGAUAUAAUUUCUGAAUUUUUAAAAGACCUUAUAAUUUUCCUACCGUUGUAAAAUUUGGCUGACAAAAUGUCAUUUUGAUGAUGAAGAACCAUGGAUGCCAGGUGUACAAACAUUAUCGUUGGAGCCUCUGGUUCAUUUUAUUUUAAUACGACAAAAAUUUUUUGAGAAAAUAACGUAUUCAAGUUUUAUCUUAGUUUCUGUCUAUUGGUUAAUAAAUGAACAAAUGAAGUACCAUUCUAAUUGUGAUCUACAAUGAGGAAUAAGACAAAGGUCAAUGAUUUCUAAAAUUCCUUAAUUGUAACUGUAACCCACGCUAUUUCAUGUUAUAUUUUCAAAAAUAUUCACCAUUAGUUAGUUUAAAGCACUUAAAUAUCUGAAAUAAAAAUCUUAUUAUUAGGCUUAACCGAGAUAAAAAAAAUCACGUUUUCUCAUGUAAAGCCCCUUGAUAAUUUCCUGUUUUAUUUUGCAUAUUUCUAGCUUUUAUGUUUGAAAGAAGGAAGAUUGAAGUUGUUGGCAUAUGUUUUUGAUAUAGCAUACAUGUAUAUAAAUAGCUGAUAAUAAAGUCUGGUUUCGCCGAGAUAAAAAAAAAUCGUGUAAAUUUUCUAAUGUUAAACCCCUGACAACUUCCUUUAACUUACAGAAAUUGGAUUUCUGUGCAUAUUUUCCAGCUUGCAUGUUUCAGAAAAGACUAAUAUUUUUGGCACAUAUACUAGUCAACAAAAGAAACGAUAGACAAGUUUGAAAUAAAAUUUAUCAUAAAUAUAAUUGAUAGGAAAUAGUUAUCAAAGGUACCAGGAUUAUAAUUUAAUACAAAAUCUUAUCAUCGUUUGUUUUUGUUCUCGCGUUUUGUCUACAUAAGACUCAUCAGUGAUGCUCAGAUCAAAAUAGUUGAGAAGCCAAACAAGUACAAAGUUGAAGAGCAAUUGAGGACCCGAAACUCCAAAAAAUUGUGCCAAAUAUGACUAAGGUAAUCUAUUCCUGAGAUAAGACAACCCCUAGUUUUUGGAAAAAAAGUAAAGUUUUAACAACAGGAAAUUUAUCAAAAUGACCAUAGCAAACACAUAUUAUUCAAAGAAAAUGAUCAUAUUGAAAAGUUAGAAAAUAACGAGUUAUUGAACACAAGGGUCAGAAUUAUUUUGUGAAAAAUAAGGAAAUAGUCGGCACUUGAUUUCGAAGAUGAGAAUAAAAUAUUCCAAUAUCUAAAGGCAUUCAAAAUUUUAAGCAGACUAUGUUUAAGUUUAACAGUGUUAAGUACUUGUAUUGUUUUUUUUAAGUUUUGGGUGAAAAUACGAUUUUUUGAAAUAACAAAAAUUUAAAAAAAAAAAAAAAAAAAAAAUUCGCGUUAUUGUCUUAACAAUCAAUCUUUUUGAUGAGAAAAUACCACUCUGUAAAAAUUAUAACAAUAGGGUAACUAUUUACCACAGUACAGUGUAUAAAGGCUGUGUCGAAAUUUGCUGUUUGAUGGUUCAUGUAAUUAGAUGGUAAGAAGUAUAGACGCUUUCAUUUUAUAGAAUACUUAUAUCAACAUUUGCAUUUUUAUUCGUUCAUUUUUCAAUCCAAUUUUAUCUAUGAUACUAUAUAUUAUGAACUGAAUAAUGUUAAGCAGAUUAUGGAUUACAUCUUCAUCUUUUCAAUGCAUCCAUGUCUGGGGAUAAGGUUUUUAUAUGAUUAUAUAAUCUUAUUGUAAUCGUCAUUCAAUUAUAGAUUAUAUCUUAUUAAUAUUACUUUAUUUUAUAUGUAUGCCUGUAUCAAGUCAGGAAUAUAACAGUUGUUAUCCAUUCGUUUGAUGUUUUUGAGCUUUUGAUGUUGCCAUUUGAUGAAGGACUUUCCUUCUUGAAUUUUCCUCGGAGUUCAUUUUUUUUGUUUGUGAUUUUACUUUCUACUUUAUUUGAGAACCACUUUGUUUUAAAUAAUUAUUGAUAUACUUUGAUAUUUAUGACAUUAUCCACUAAUGACAAUGUCCCAGAUUCUCAAAUGCCGAUAAUUUGAUUAUCUUCGUAUACUUUAAAUAUAAUUUAGUAAGAGACGAGCAGCAUUAUAUGUUACGAUAAGCACUAUGAUGAUCACUCAAGUGUAAGAAAGAUGCACAAUGGAAUGGAGUGAGGAUCUUCAAGACAAGGACGAAUAGAUGCUAGACUUAUAGUUCCCUCUUAAGUAGAAGUAGAUAAUGUUGCAAUAACAAAGGUUUUCAUUAUAGGGAUAGGGGUUCGUAUUCGCACCAAAUUAAAGUCAUGGAAGGAUCAUCACUUUGUGCAUUUUGACCAUUAUCUGGUAGAAGUAAAAGUAGAAGAAUAAUAACUUUCAGUUAAUUGUCCUUGAUUGGUUCUCGUAUAGAUGUAUCAUCUUUUUUUCUCUACUCACAUUCGAGUACUCAAUAAGAAGUGUGAUGAUUUCCACAGCAAUCACAAUUAUCAUAAAACGAAAAGAUAGUUAUGGCUUAACUUGUGAUGGAACAAUCAAUCAUGAAUAGAUACAUUUGCAAAGGGAACAGUUUUUAAACAAACAAAAAAUAUUAGAAACAAAUACGUUUUAACUGCAACUGGUUUCUCAUCAACAACAAUUAUUGAUGAGUGUCGAAUUACAAAACUGAUAUAUAAAUAAUGAUUAUGAUGAAUUGAAUAAAGUAUUUAACUAUUAAAAAAUGUUUUUUGUUUAGUCUAAACAUAUUUAUUUAUAGUGGAUUGGGAAACGAGUUAUUGCAACUUAUAUUAUGUAUACAAGUUUUUUGUUGUCGCAUGGUAUAUCGAGUUCGUGUGAUCAUGGCAUAUUUUACAGGGUUCGUGAUUUGUAUUUCCACACUAACUAUAAAUAAAAGGUCAUCUCAACCUACUCCUAGUAUGAUUGUUAAUGUCUACUUGACAGGUAAUUUAAGGUCUAACUCGCAUCAAGCUUCGUAUUAUUUAACAAAGCUGAUCUUUCGUGAUUUCGUGAUUACAUACUAAUCCCACUUACUACAAGUUAUAUGUCAACUAAAUUUGUAGAAUAUGAUAUAAUGAUUAUGUAAAAUGUAUAUAACAGUGAUCGUAUUACUUGACCAUUCAUGAUAUAUUAACUCAAUGGCUUAAAACAUCAAAUUCAGUUAAUCAGUUAAGCAGGCGAUACAUUUCAGAACGCUUAGGACGUAUGACAUUUAUAUAACGUGUUGUUUUCAAUUUUUUCAAUGUGUCUUCUCUUCUUCAAACAUGGAAUGAAUCCAAAAUAUUCAUAAGCGCGAGCUAAGCAUGCACACUUGCAUAUGUCUUUUAAGGUGGUACCCAACACCUUAACUAAAAUUAAUUUGGCUCGUUUAAUUUUCUUAAAAUUUUGACAAAGUAUUUACUUUGACCCUUUGACACAUAUAUAAAAAAUUCAAAAACAUUGAACCAACCGUUUAAAAUCAGAAAAAUUACACUGGUUAUUUAGUAGUUUGACAAAAACUUAUUUUGAUCAUUGAGAAGCUUAAUAUUCCCUUAACAACACAACGUCAUUAAAAUGUUCUGCUGAUUUUACAGAGUUGUCUCCCUGUAGUGUUAGGUACCACCUUAAAGAAAAUAUUUGACCUUUAAAAUUAUGUCUUUUGAAUCCUCUUUUGUCAUUUACAAUUUAUUUGUUAUCUGUAUCACACAACACUGCUUAUCCUCGUAAAAUAUCAAACUAACAUUCUGGUUUUUUAUAGGGUUCAAAAUUUUAAUUUUAUUUUUUUGCUACGUUUUGUGGACACACGCAUUUAUCUUUCUGUCUUUUUUGUUUGCUUAUGGUCUUGACUUCUACCUCUUAUACCGAAUUCAGUAUAAGAGAGAUAAGAUAUGCGCCAAUAAGCAUUUAGAUAGUGUGAAAAUGCCCCGCGUUGAACAGCCAGAUUUGUUUUCCGGAUGGGAGUAUUCCAUGGAAAACUAUAUUCCCAUAUGACAGAUUACACUUGGGUUUGUUUCUCGUAUGAUAAGUGAACUCCUUUACAUAAUUAUCAUUUAAUAUUAUCUGACUGAAUUGAUCCUAGGAAGAUAUUAUUUCUGAUGUACUUUAAAACAAUACUCAACAACAAAGGUAAAACUAUAAAGAAAAUAUCCAAUACAAUAGGUGAACGCCUGAAAAAGCUGUCAUGUCAGUUGAUUUUCGUUGUAAAAGACGUAUUCACAUUAUAUAAAAAGUGACAUACAUUAACAAUGUUUUUGAUAAUUUUAUCUAAUUUUUAUGUAACUGUCUUCAUAGAUUUCUUUAAUUUCAUGACCUCUGAUGCACUGUUGAAUCAACAUAUAUCCACAGGGACCACCUACUUAAAUAGUACUAAGAGUUUAUGUUUAGAUUAUAACAUAACCAUCCUAUUUAAAUAACGGCUAAGAUAUGACUUAGUUUCACACCUAAGAGUUUGAAUACAAUGAGAAAACGAUCGAUCUUUAUGUCGCAUUUUUACUUACAAUAGAGUGAUGAACCAAAUCAUUGAAAUUGCCUUAAUAGACUGACCAGAAAGCGGGGGCCGCUCUAGUCAUGCUUCAGUGAUUCCCUAUAAAAUCAAUCAAAUUUUCCCACAAAAAGGGGGACCGGGAUCCGGCUUUACUAGGAAAGUGUCGUUUUUAUAGGUUUAAUAGAUCAUAAUGGACAUUCCGAUGAUCUAUAUAAUGAACAUAUAUCAUUGCUCUAUAUUUAAAUGUCCUUUAAGGGUGUACUUAUGUCAGAUUUAGAAAUGUGUGAGAUGUUCAAACUUUUGUUUAUUCGGUACGGAGAAAAAUAUUUUGCCAAAUAAACACCCAUUUCUCUUUUCAUUUAACACUUCAAAUAACAUAAAGGUCAUUUCCAAAAUUUAAGCAGAUUUAAGAUAACUUUUCUUUUGCUUUGAGACUCAAAUGACAUAAAUGCAAAUAUAAGGUAAAAGUCAGACUCAGCCUUCUCCCUCCAUUUAAAAAAACAAUAUCCCUAAAAGAAAGCGUAUGACAACUUAAGUCUGUUGAGUUUCACAAAGUCUUAUUUGUUAUGGAGUCAGUACUUCUUUACCUAAUUAUUGUACUUCUGAUAGAAGUUGGAUAGAUUUCAAAUAUUUUGGCCUCGAGCAUGUGAAGAGACAUUCAUUGUCGGAAUAUUAAUAUGCAUAUGGUUAAGUAAACAAUAUAAUGGGAAGCAGAGACCUGAUGCGUUAUAAAUAAACUUACAAGUAAAGAGAUGUGUGGUUUGUGGAACGGAAUUAGACAGGAAAACAAUCAAAUAUUCCACUUUCACAAAUUGCACAUGGAGUAUUUGGUACAUUCGAAAGUGCACAGAUGUGGCGUGAUCAUAUCAAUUCUAUACUAAAUCUGUAGUUUCUACAACAUUCACAGAUGGAGUUAAAGAAGGCGUUUAACAUUAUCUUGAUGAUAAUGUUAUAUAUUAACUGUAAAAGAUCAUGUAAAUGAUUGAAUUGUGGAAAAGCUGCUGACAGUGAUGGCCUGGCUGCGUGACAUUUAAAAUAUGCAACUCACAGGCUACUUGCACUGUUGUCUAUGCUCUUAACAUCUAUGUGUGUUCACUGCGUCAUCCCAUGGGAACUUUCCCGUGUACUUAUCAAAGUAACUAUCAUAAAUCUUAAGCAAGUUAUUGUACAUGUAACACUUUUGAAUAAGGGUUUACUUUUCAAAUAAUUUGACGUUGGGCAUCAUUGAUUAGACAUUUACCAUCGAAAUAAGCAUAUGGUGAAGUACAAAACGUACCGUUAGUACCAUUACUAUCACUAGGUUGAUACCUCUGCUGGUGCUCAGUUAGUUUCCGAGGGUUUCAUCAGCUCAGUAGCCAGUACUUCGGCAUGUUACUCCAGAUAUUGUGUUAUAAGAAUUUGCUCUUACAAAAUUUUAAAUAUAAGUUUCAAUUACAAAUAUAUAUCUCUUAUGCGAAGCUCUGAUUGUUUGCCCGGGUUUGGCCAUACUCUUUUGCAAUUUUUGUUAUACAUGUUAUAUAAGCUGCUCAAAUUUUCAUUAUUUUGUUUUUGUUUUUUAAGUACCUUGGCCUAGAGCAUCACUAGUGAAGUAAAAUUGGUACCAUUACUGUUAUUUUGAAAAUAACCAAAUUAAUAUAUAUAUAAACAAAUCAUUAUGCAUGAGGUUUGGAAUCAAGUCCAAAAGAAGUAAACCGUUUUUGAAAUGCCUGUACCAAGUCAGGAAUAUGACAAUUGUUAAUUAUUCGUUAGAUUUAAUUGAGAUGUCGAUUUUGCCAUCUGAAUUCGGACAUUCCGUUUUGAAUUUUCCUCAGAGUUUUGUAUUUUUGUUAUUUUACUUUUUUCAUAUGGACACCAACUCGAUAAGCAGAAAACAAUUGAAAACAAGAUCAAAACCGAAAAUACGUUUUUACUUUCAGAAAUCAAUAUUUUAUGAGUUCUUUAAUAGUCGAUUACAAUCGUAGAAAAUGACCAACUUAUUGCUAUGCAUACUAAUUUUAUUUAAUUUCAACUUUAGAAAUAUGGUUUUUGUUGUCUUGUAAGUAAGUUCUUUAAAAAAAGGCGGUUGUAAUAAUACAGAGCUACCUCUUGCAUAAUUUUGUCCGCUGCAUGUUAUACUGUAAACCAACUUUUUUCGCGGAUACUUUAUUUCGCGUUUUUUCCCUUUCUAAAUUACUUCACGGAUAUUCAAUUUUGCGAUUUUCUGAUUUACUUGAGGAGUUUAAUAAGAAAUGAUCUAAGUUUAGAUAUUCACGACGAUUUAUAUUCGCGUUAUUUUUUACUUGCGAAAGUUGCGAAAAUAAGUUGGUUUACCUAUACCUGGUUCAUAUUACGUCAUAGAUAGAUCAAAUAAAACUUUUUAAAACUUUUUAUCAGGAACUUAUGGUAUUUACAUAACUGACAUGGAACGUUUAACUUGUAUAUUGAUACAUUUACUAUAUUUUCAAAAAUGAAAACAACACAUUAUAUACAUUUCAUGCAUCCGAAGCGCUUUUCUGGAUUUAUCAUAUUUAACAUUAUUUUUUUUUAAAAAUAAAACAUGAAAAUUAUUUUUGUCAAUUAAUACAGAGAUUUGUUGCAGUCAAUUUAUAAAAUGCUUAGCCUUCAAAAGUAUUUUAUAAAAUGCUUAGCCUUCAAAGGUAUUUUAUAAAAUGCUUAGCCUUCAAAAGUAUUUUAUAAAAUGACUUAUAAUACCUACAGUCAGUUUGAUUAAGAUUAUGACCAGUUGCCCAGAUAAUUAUUUCGACAAAUUGAUAUAUUAUACGAUAAGUCGACUUUAUUAUCUCAACAAGUCGACAUUAUAGAAGCAUUAAAUCGACUUGUCUAGAUAGUUAACACAACAUGUCGACAUACGUAUCGCGACAAGUCGACAAAAGAUAUCUCGGCAACUCAUCUUGAGGUCGAGAUUAAUGUCCGUAACUGCCCUUGUCUUAUUGAGUUGUCGAAUUAAUUAUCACAACAAGUCAGCUUUAUUUUUUUGACAAGUCGAAACGCAACGGGGUCGAUCGAGACGAGAUCGGUAGAAUGCAAUGGAUUUCACAAAGCUCUUUUGGUUUUUAAGAUAAAAGGGACCCAUUUGGGGUCAAACCCUCAAAAAAUAACUUUUAAGUCCAAUUUUUUCCCAUUGAAUUCUUUAUUCAAGAGUGGACACACUGAAUGUCUCGCCUGUUCUAGUGUUAAUAAUAUUAUUUAUAUUAAAGUAUAAAAACGAAGUUUAUACCAGAAGCAUUACAUUUAACCAAAAAUAUAACAUUUAAAUGACUAAUGCAUAUGAGAUCAAGGUGAGAUAAUCCGAAAUAAUUAUCUGGGCAACUGGUCAUUUCGAUGGCAGCUGUAUGCCACCAUAGAUUAUAACACUGUUUUGAACUUUUUUAUCCGAGCUUCACUGAUGAAACCAUGUAGAAGAAACGCUCGUCUAGCGUAAUAAAUUAUAAUCCUGGUACCUUUGAUAACUUUUAACCUAACAUGUUUGUCUGUUUUGUUCACAAAUCAUUGUCAAAAUAUUGAAUUUGAUGCGACUGUCAAUUAAGUGAGAGGUUUAGCUAGCUAUAAAACCAGGUUUAAUCAAGCAUUUUCCACAUAAGGAAAUAUCUUUACAAAGUCAAAAAUAUGGCAGUUGUUAUGCAUUCGUUUGAUGUGUUUGAGGUCUUGAUUUUGCCGUUUGGCAAGUGACUUUCCAUUCUGAAUUUUCGUCGGAGCUCGGUAUUUUUGUGAGUUUCCCUUUUUAAAUGACUAAAAAUAGGUACAGUCAGUUUGUGAAAAAGGUAAAAGUUAGAAACAAAAUUCAAAAAAUUGCCUGUCCAGUUUCGUGUUAUAUAAAGAAAAUAUCAUAGAGAUGAAUAUAACCAAAAUCACAGUAUCCUGCAAAAAAACCCGAUGGUCAGUAAAAUUUAGGCAAACAUUUAGGAAUUUUGGUCCUCAAUGCUCUUCAACUUCGUACUUUAUUUGGCAAUUUUAGCAUUUUUAGAUUCGAGCGUUACUGAUAAGUCUUUUGUAGACGAAUACAUAUUUAAUCCUGGUAUCUAUGAUGAGUAUUUUUACAUACAAUUUACAAACGAUCUUUUAGAAAACCUAGAUCCAAAUCAGAAGUUUGUAAUAUGAAGCUGAGAAAAAUAAGGAUGAUCUUAGAUUACCAGAUUGUUGUAUUUUGUAUUUAAAACGAGAACAACUGGAUAAUGAAUCAAAUAGGUAAGUUUUGAACUGUUUAAACCCUAAUAUAGUACAUGUACAAGCAUGUUUACUUCUGCUCCAAAUGAAGGUAUCCUAUAUAUAUAGGAACAGAAAAGUUGACUUCCACCAAGCUGCCUACUGAACGGUCAGAGAGUUCUUUGCUGACAACGAGUGCUGUCCUUUUCUAACAUGCAGCAUCAUAUUGAAUGUUCAUAAUCAGAAAGAAUGCAAGUUAAUAGACCCCUUGAUAGCUAAACGGAUUCUCCUCGACAAUUAAUUAAAAUUCUGCAGCGAAGGACGUCACACUCUGAAAUAAAAUAAUGAGCAUUAGAAAUAUAAUACACAUUUACUUCAAACAACAAUUUCAAUCAGAAUGAUUCCUGUUUCACAUUUGGUGGAUUGAUUUUAAAAAAAUGCUAUAUUCUGACACAAUUGUGUUUUUGUAUACUCUUCAGUAUUUCAAAACUUGGACAUGGUAUUCUUUUCAUAAACUAACAUAUUAUUGUACGAAGUCGGAAGUACGCACAUGGAAGCUCUGUUACUGUGAAUUAAAAAAAGACGAUCAUUGUAUACUUUUUAAAAUUGGCGCUUUUUUGGGAUAGAGGAGGAUAUUUACAAUACCUCUUCAAUUUAAAGUCAAAAUACCCUUUUUUAUAUGAAUACACAUUUAAGCACCUGAGAUCACCCCUAGUUUUUUGAUGGGGUUCGUGUUGUUUAUUCUUUAGUUUUCUAUGUUGUGUCGUGUGUGCUGUUGUUUGUUUGUCUUUUUCAUUUUUAGCCAUGGCGUUGUCAGUUUGUUUUAGAUUUAUGAGUUUGACUGUCCCGUUGGUAUCUUUCGUCCCUCUUUUAAGCGUUCGAACAUGUAUAUAAAAACAUAUUCGCAGGAUUGAAUCUGUUUGACGAGUACAUUUCACCUAAAUCUUUUCAGACAUUUGAUACUGGACAUAAUAAACAACUGCAAGAUCCUUCUACCAGUUUACAUAGAGAUUGAGAGAUGUAUGUUUUAUUCGCCAUCCACAUUAGCAGUAAGUCAGAGAACUGCUUAUCUAUUUAUAUAAUGUUCAAUUUGAUCAAAACUGUAACAGAUGAAUAACGACAUUAACAUAUGUCUUUGUACAUAUAUUCUGCACCAAAAAGCAAAAAGCCAUUAUUUGAAUAAUUCUAUAUCAUCAAUUAGACCAUUCUCUCUAUUCUUUAUUCAUUGUGUCUAUUAUUCUAUAUCAUUUAUGUCUUAGCACACUAUUAUUCUCUAUUCUUUAUUCAUUUGCCUAUUUUCUACAUGCUGUAUGUUCUGUCUUAAUUCUGCACUUUGUGUCCAUUAUUCUAUACAAUGUUAAUCCCAUCCCUUAUAUGUGUAAAAACGGAUAUUGAAUUUCUUAUCGGUCAAAAUAACAAGAAAUAUGAUAACUCAUUGACGUUGUAUACCAGAAGACUUCUUUUAUUUUUCGUCACGUUUGUCAGUAGAAUUACAUAAAACAUUGACAUAGUUGCACUCGUAAAUAUUUAGGUUUUACAUUACAUAAUUGUAAAGGUGUUUAGGACAACCUGUAUCUUGAAAAAGGUCAAGUUAGCAAGAGCGCUGGGUUCUAUGAAAGAUGACAUCGAUGACAUCGAUGCUUUGCAUGUUUAAGAAUCUUUAGUUUUAAAAAAAAAAGAUUUCAAAACACACAGUGCGAUACGAAACACCGUUUGGAUUAUGAAAAGACGCUCAAUAUUUAGUCAUUUAGAUUGAUAGUUUCAACCAGAAAUAACUGAUGCUUUGGUUAUCCAGUGGGAAAGAUAAAAGAGAGACGAAAAAUACCAGAGGGACAUCCAAACAGAGUCGAAUAAAAACUGACAAUGGCAAGGCUAAAUAAAAAAGACCAACAGACAAACAAUAGUACAUAAAACACAACAUUGAAAUAAAAAGGAUAAGGAAUAAGAACCCCAUCAAAAAGCUGAGGGUGAUCUCAGGUGCUACGGAAGGGUUAAGGAAAUCGUGUAUGAAAAGAUGAAGUAAAUUGAAGUAUAAGCAAGACGUAUUAAUUGCAAAAUAAAAGUAGAACGCAGAGAUGCAAGGGUUGCUACAGAUUGCAACAUUCACAAACAGAUCUAUCCUGACGAUACAAACUUUGCAUAAACUAUUUAUGACGUCUUUGCACUAAAUUCAUCGAAUGUGUACUGGAUGAUUGAAAAUAUGGUUUAUUCAUUAUUUGGAAUUAGCUUUGAACUUGGUUUUGUCAGUAUUCUUAGAUAAUCUAGCCUUUUCAUCAAAAUUUGGGUUUUUAAUGUAAAAUUAGAAUAAUAGGUGAAAAAGCCUUUGUGAGACCUCGAAAUUGAAGGUAAAAUCCUUUUCCUUUAUUAAGCUAUUGUUAAUCAAUAAAAAAUCACAAAACAAAUAAUCGUGAUUUGGUACUAGCUGUUAUCAAAGGGAGACAAUUCAAUCUCAAUCUCAAUGUGUUUAAAUCCCAGGAAAGAUAAAUCUUGUUACACGUGGGGAUAGCUCAUCAACUAUAGUCUAUUUUUAAAACAUCUUCUAGAUAUGUAUUUUGCUUAACCAUGUUUUAUAAUUAAUUUCUCAUUUUGGGAUCGCAAAGUAAACUUUAGUAGAAACCCUGAAUAAUUAUUUGCUAUGUAAUCUUUGUGGUUUUAUGAAAAGAUAGUUUGUAUUGUGUGCGUUGAGGCCUGUAGUUGAUAGUAAAAAAAAAUAUGCAUGGGAGUUGAAAACGAGAUGUGUGAAAAAAUGGCCAUUAUUUCAAGGCAAACAAAUCUGACUCGUAAUUUUUGCAUGUAGGAAAGUAAUCAGGUGGUAUAAUAUAAUUUGUCGCCGAAUGAUGGGUUGUUAAUGGGUGUGAGUCAUUGUAACACUGAUAAGGGGGUGGACAUAAUUAUGGGAACUAUGGAAUGAGAGUACUAGAAAUGAGAAUUUGAUGGAUGAAAGCUUGAGACAGGGUGUUUUUAAUCGUGAGAAAAGUGUUGUUAAAACAGGGUUAAUGCAUGUUGAUGAAAAAAUAGGAGUGCAGGGGAAUAGAAUAUGGAGUGAAGUAGGAUUUUAGGGAGGGAACGUGGAAUCAAUUCCCCUGUCCACCAAAUAAUUGAAACCCAUUAAAGAAAUAAGGGAGCGGGGGUCUGACAUGUAUGUAUACGUAAACGGAUCAAUUAUGCAGGGAAUGCAGACCACAGAUUGCUCUUAUUUAACAACUGAUAAAUAGAAAGACGAAUGUAAUAGUGCUAUCUAAGUUUAAAAAAAAAAUUAAAACAAUAAAUAAUUUAAUCAAUAGUAGAUUUUUGAUUAUGUAGACCAACAGUAGAGAAAUGUAGCUUUGGAUGACCGUAUAAGUUAAAAAUGCAUCCAACAGUACACAACAUCCCUUGGUGGGACUAAACUUCAGUCCGCAAACAUCUUAAUUAGUUAGAGAUGUCAACAACCAUAUACAACUUUAGCCUAGGCAGCCCUGUAUAGCGAUAUAGAGUGCUUGCAAUCAACUAUCUUCUUAUAAACGACUUAUAUAAAAUGAUUAAGUCUUUCAACAAAAGUUAUAAAUGAUAAGCAACGCUGCAAAUAUUGAACUUUAGAACAUAAAUAAUUAUCUUUAAUAAUGAAUUUAAAACAGGAAGAUCUUUUCAAUUUAUUAAAUAUGUACUGAAAAGUUGCAUGUAAAUCGUUAAAUAAGGAAACACGCAAUUUCAAUUUUUAAACAAGGGAAAUAAUAUUUACAUGACAAUCCUGUCUUCCAAAUGCAUUUUAAACAUUUUGUUUUUAUCAACAAUUACUAUUUAAAAAAAAAAAAAAAAAACACACUGAAGAUAACAUGUAUUUUAGUUGCAACAACUUUAUUAUGGAUAAAGAACUGCCAACCUGUACCAGAAACAACUAAUGGUUUGGAACACACUAUACACUAUGAACGACAACUCGACCUAGAAUGUUACUCACAUUUGUUCAUAAUGUAAACAAACACGCAUAUAAAAAAAACGGUAGUAUGUAGCAUUUAAAGACAACCAGAAUGCUGUAGUAAAGAUCAUCGAGAAAUUGAUCUGGUUUGCCGCCCGGAGAUGCCGAUAAGUGAUAUUUUACAAAAUCAUGUUGGAAGGGAUGCAUUGUCCUUGCCAAAAUUACAAUUAAUUCAGGUAUCUAGCAUUAUUAACGUAUAUCGAUACCACGAUAAUACAUUGAUAAUACUGCCUUGUUAAAUAUAUCUUAAAAACAAAGAAUGCAGCAAUAGUUCUGUCGUCGACGGUCAAAGAAAAAAAUCCUGAUGAUAAAGCAUGCAAUUCCGGAAAUUGACCGUCUCCAAAAAUAUUAAAUUCUAAAAUUGAGUUAUCGUCCUUUUCGCGCCAGACGACUAUUGAAAAGGCUAUUAGAUAGGUAUACUAUGUUUUUUUUUAUUUUUCUUUUGUGGCAAUCUGAUGAAUUAAGCCUUUUACAGCUGAUUGUUCAUUGUUUGUUCUUAUUUAGUGCUGUCAAACCACUAUUAGGGUGGGGGUGAACGCCCACACAUAUGUUGAAUGCAGCCACAUUCUUUAAUUGCAUGCACCCGUGACUCUUUAGCCAGGGUUUACUGCUGGCUAUCCUGUGUUUCUUUAUUUGUAUAGCAUAGCUUGAAAGUAGCGCCCCUUUGAUUAGAUAAUAUAUCACUAACCGACUAUGUAAAUUGCUAGAAAAAAGUAUGUACUAUUUUCUAAGACAGCUUUCAAAUUUUUAAAUUCAUGUCUUGAAAAGUAUACUUUAAUUUUUUUGAAUUUUCAGAAAUCCAACAUCCCUGUUACUUCGACUUUAUAAGGGUUUCCUGUUAUGCACAUUAUACCCAUAAUGCAUUUUCAAAAUUAGGAUACAAUCUCACGGUUAUAACAAUUAAAAUCACACCAGUAAUACACGAACAAUGAUAACAAACAGGAAAUUAUAUGUAUGAUAAAAUUAUGUUAGUUUAAAUAACGUUCAUGUGAACCUCAUUUAAAUGGUUAAGGUUUGGAUGUCAUAGAAUUAUCUCUCUUCAUUGUGAUGCACAUGGUCAAAGUCUGAUCCUUUGAAGCUAGUUUCAUUCGAUCGUGUAUAAGCAAGACGUACAAAUCGGAAUUUACCAAAGAUAAAUGAAAACAAUUUAUAAGAUAAAUAAAUUUGAUUUAUGUACCAGUCGUUAAGUAUAUACUCUUCCAUUAAUAAUUUAUUACCAGUGGAUUAUCGGAUUUAUCCAACCGAGAUAGUUAGGUUAUCAAUUUUUAAUGUCCGAGGCUCAGCGAUGAUUAUCAAAGAAAUUUUCAUUUUUGAUAAAUGAAAAUCCCUUCGAGUGCCUUCCACAUUACACAAAGUUGUCAAUUUCAACAAGACCCGUUUAGGCAUUUUGAUUCAUUCUGCAGUUGAUAAAAGUUAUGAUCCGUAAACUCAUCCAAUACACUUUUGAGAUAAUCGGCAACCACACGUUCAUUAGAUUUGUGUUUAUAAAAUGGGUGAAGAAAGGGUUAAAAUGCCACAAGAAUAGACACAUUUUAACAUCAAACAUCUCUAGCUACCAUGAAGAAAAGACUUAGUUUAUGCAAUAAAUCAAAUAGCAUCUAUGUAAAACUCAGAUCGACGUACGGUCUCUAAUUGACGUCCAGUCCUCAAAUCGACGUCCACAUCUGACAAAAUAGUAAAAUAACAUUACAAAUCAACGUUCAAAUAUUACGAAAUAAUAAAAUAUCAUUCCAAAUCGAUGACAAAUUUUAUGUCCCUCUAAUGGACGUCUUUUUUGUUUUUCUCAAAUCGACGUCCUAUUUAUUUUAUAUUAUAUAUUAUAUGAAGCAUGUUUUAAAAAACGUAAUAAAUGUAGACCCGCGAGUCAUGCUAGACUCGCUUUUAUAAACUCAUUACGUCACAUUGGAUGUCGAAUAGAGGGUCAAAUUAUUGGAGACUGAUUUGAGAACGUGACGUCAGAUUUUGACGUCGAUUUGAGGAACGGACGUCGAUUUGAGGAACGGACGUCGAUUAGAAACUAGACGUCGAUCUGAGUGUACAUAUAUACUUUACAAAAGAUCAAAAUAUAAUAAAUCAGGUCAACCUCGGUCUCAUACAAACAUGAACCUGCACAAUUUUACGUUUUGUGAAGAUACCAAGGAGCCAUAAGAUUAAAAUGUUUUGAAAAGCGGCAAUAACCCGAUCAAACUGAGAAAAAAAGCCUCCCAAAAUUUGAUAAAAAAUAAUCAAACUACUAAGUGUAGCAGAGACUAUAAUUUAUUUACGAACUUAAGAUUGAGCAACAUAAACCCAGAAUAAAAAAGAAUUUCGAUUCUAAAUUAGAAUGUCAUUAGAACCGAAGACAGGUAGCUCUGGACUAUUUAAUAUAAUAAAUGAUUGUGUAUAUGAAUUUCAGUUAUAUUGAAUAUAAGUUUGUAUUUGUCACACCUCAUAGUUUAAAGUUUAUAUGGCAAUACAAAUUUGAGUUGAAAAAAAAACCAAUUAUGUCAAUUGUUCAUCUUUUUGAAACUAAUCUUAGUUCUCACUUAUUCUGCAUUUUUUUCAAUCCAUUUGUAAAACAUCAAUGGUUUGUCUGUUUAUAUUUUUAACGUCAAGUUGUCACGAAUAUGUAGAACCAAAAUCGUUCAUAUUAAUAUAAUAUAAUGUUUGAAAUUCAAAUACAAUCACUCUCUUACCUGACUAUUUUAAUUCUAGAUCGGCAUUAAUUAUCAGACAUAAUUCAUAUCAAAUAUAGAAAUAAAAUAAUAUUUCUGCGUAAUCGUUCUAUAUGAUUUAAGGUAGGUGUGAAUGAUAUCUUUACAGAAGGGAGAUAUAUAAUACAGAGGAACUUUGAUAUGGAUGCAAAGAAGAACAGGUGAACAUUCAGUCAACAAUGAAACUUACACAUAUUUCUGUUUUUAUGUUUUUAAUGCUCGGAACUUUUGUCCAUACCUGGCCAUGGAGAAUACCAAAACAGUACUUAAAGAUCAUUCAACGUAAGUUAUUUUUAUAUCAUUAAGUUUGUAUUAAUAUUUUAUAUUUUUUAAACAUUGUAAGACUUUUGAACAUCGGUAUAAAACAACGUUCGCCUUAAUUUAGAUUGUGUUGAGAAUGCAGGAAUUUUAAAUGGAAGCAAUUAAUUUCAAUAUACUUUACCAUAAGUUUAAUGGAACCUGUUGCUAGUCGUUUCACCUUAAACUGAAAUAUUAGGUUUAGUUAUUUUUUUUUAUAUUUUUUUUUACAGCAAACAGUAUUGUUACUACUGGUUUAAAUUUCUUUUUCAGUAAAUCUUGUAAUGUUGAACUUUGAAUAAUACCUUGUUCCAUUGAGACGAUGUUUAAGAAUUUGUGGAAACAAAUUAAGAUUCUGUACUGUCAUCGUCAAGUGAUCAGCCAAUAUCCGCUGUCCAACCUAUAAUACACAGGAGAAUAAGUCUCGUGAAUUAAGCAUGCAUUUUUUUUUAUCACGAUAAGCUUACCUUUGAUAUCUUACAAUUCAGAGAAUAUUAUCUUAAGCAGUAAUGUCUUCAGUUUAUUCCCUCAUUUUUAUAAAAGAAACGUGUUUUUCAUGAGUUGGCUUUAUGUCUUCUAAAAAACUGCAACGUCUUUGGAUAUAUUAUGAUUGUGGUAAAUUUUUCCUUAACAUAAAGUAAUAAUUUUGUCGACAAACAAGUAAAUGGAGCUAUUUAAUUUAGCAAUUGGAUUGACGGCACACUUGACCAGAUUCCAAUAGAAAAAAAAUAACGUGAACAUUUUGAUUAAACUUAUAAAGAGCACAAGCAUUAUAUAAAAAACUUUAAUAAACGGGUAGAUAAAUAUUAUCCUAAAUCCGUGUGAAUAUCUCAUUGGGCUAGGAUUUUGGUUUAAGUAAACGAUUAAGAUUUUAUUUAUGUUCGCUAUUUAUCUAAAUUCUAUCUCGUAUUAACUGUAUAAUCCAUGAGAAUGAAAAACGCUAAAUGAAAAAUAACAAUUUUAUAUCCACUGUAACAUUUUGCAAAUUGAAAUUAAUUUGAAAUAAAAGUUAAGCAUAAAAUCUUAUAUUCUGUAUGCAUUGGCAAAAUACAAAAAGGAUACAUUGUGGUUUAAGAUGAUCAUUUUUAUGGUCUAAAUUAUGAAUCAAAUGUGAACAUGGUUUUUCGAAAUACUAAGGACGUUGUACCCAUGAAUAGGAGACCCCAGAUUUAACAAAUCUUUGGGUUCUCAUACCAAAACCUUAUUUUGGCUAUUAACUUUUUUUCUCGAAAAUUUGGGUUCUUAAUGCUCUUUGACUUCCUACUUAGUUUUGUGCAUUUUUCUUUUUUGAUUAGGGCUUAACUUAUAAGUUAUUCUUAAAAAAAAUAGCGUCCGGUGUAAACAAUUAACUAUCCUGGUAUCUAUGAUGAGGUUAUUGAGAACCACAUGGUAGAAUCCAGUGCUGUUAAAGGCUUUUCUCCCCAAAGAUAUCACUAGACUAGUAUUAGGCACAUAUGUGUUGAAAUGAUUUAUCACUGAUAUGGUGAUAACGUAAUACAUUAAUUGUUGGGAAAACUUUAAAUGUUUUGAAAUUCUAAGUAUUUUCUUCCACUGGAUUUGCAAAAUAUUUCGGAAUUUCUGGACUUCGAUGCUCUUCAACUUCGUUCUUUAUUUGUUCUAUUUAAUUUAUUUUAUAUUGAAGUGUCAACGAUGAUUUUGUAGACGAAAUGUACGUCUGGCGUUUACAAAUUUGUAAUCCUGAUAUUUAUAAUUAUUUUAUUCGUACGUUAUUUGACAUAUUAAUUUUAUUUGAUUUAAGUGUCAUCGAGUUAUUUUUUUACAGUCGAAACGCGCUUCUUGUCUACAUAAUUUUCAUAAAGUUUGAAAAAUACGAGAGACAAUUUAAGAUGUACGCUGCUAUUUUAAGAUCAAAAUGAAGAUAACUUAGUUAAUGUUAUAUCAAAGAGUAAGUUACAAUACUCUUUAUACGUAUCAUAGAUGCAGAUCUUGUGUUUCAGUUUUGACGUCAAAAUGGAGGUUUUCUUCUAUUAAACGAAUAUUUCAACAAAUUCAAAUUUCGAAUUACAUAACUUCUUGUGUGUCUAAAAUUUCUGAAAGCAGUUCUCGCUAAAUUUUUAAUUGCAUCAAAUGUUGUUAUGUCACAACAACAAUGUAAUACUUUUCUAGCUCCGUGUCCAUUACACAGAAAAGUGGAUGCCAAUGAUAUUUAAUGGUUCUCGGUUGGUGUCAUGCCUGUCUAAUAUCAGUCUCUGUCAUGGUCUUUGAAUUUAAAAAUGUAUCAGGUUUUACAAUGUUAACCGUGUUUUCAAUUGCAUCCUUCAUAUAUAGACGCUCAAAAUUUUGUGCCAUAAUCAAUUCAGCGGUAAAUCUGUUUGCUUUAAUAUUCUGUUUGAGCGUCACUAAUGUUUCUUUUGUAGACGAAAUGCACGUCUUGCGUACUUAAUUUUAAUCUUGAUAUCUAUAAAUGAAAAAGGUUGUUUACCACUGGAUCAAUGUCACUGGUGGUGGAGAUUCCCCGAGAGUAUCCCGCGAUAAGUAGUCAUUUGUGUCGACAAGUAUUAUCAUUGCUAUAGUCAUAAUUAUUAAUCAACCGUUACAUUUUUUUUGUAAAAAUUGCAAAAGAUUUUCUGUCAAGGAAAGAGUUUUUAUUUUUAUUUUUCAAAAUCUUUCUCAUUUCUGUUUUAACUUCGUUUUUUGCCUUUAUAAUUUAUUCAUUCGAGCUUCAAUGAACACCGGUAUUCUUCUGUUACUUUUGUGUAUCUUUUUUUAAUGUGACCUACCGAAUUAGACUAUUUACCGGGUCUAUUUAUCUGGAGCAGAAACUGCUUACCCUUCUGGAGCACCUGAGAUCACCCAAGAUUUGGCGGAGUUGGUGUUGCGUAGUCUUUAGUUUUCUAUGUUGUGUCUUGUGUACUAUUAUUUGUCUGUUUGUCUUUUCCCUUUUUAACCAUGGCGUUGUCAUUUUAUUUUUGAUCUAUGACUGUCCCUUUGGUAUCUUUCGCCCGCCCCUCUUUUCUAGAUAAAAAGCGCGUCUAGCGUAUCUAAUUUAAAUUGUGAUAUCUUUUGUGAUUUUUUAUGCCCCACCUACGAUAGUAGAGGGGCAUUAUUUUUCUGGUCUGUGGGUCCGUUCGUUCGUCCGUCCAUUCGUCCCGCUUCAGGUUAAAAUUUGUGGUCAAGGUAGUUUUUGAUGAAGUUGAAGUCCAAUCAACUUGAAACUUAGUACACGUUCCCUAUGAUAUGAUCUUUCUAAUUUUAAUGUCAAAUUACAGUUUUAACCCCAAUUUCAGUGUCCACUGAACAUAGUAAAUGAUAGUGCGAGUGAGGUUACCGAGUACUGUGGACACAUUCUUGUUGGUAAUACUUAGAAUGCAGUCACAAUCAGCAUUUUGUUUAAAUUUUAUACGUUUUCAGAUAUGAUGAUUUGACGACAGACGUUUUCCAUGGGAUAGCAGAGAAUAAUGCAGAGCUAACGCAACAAAUUACAUGAACUUCAUAAUAAAUUAAGCCCAGCAUGCAAUAUUUUGUUAUUCCCUAAGCGAGAUUUGAACCAUUGCUUCUGUUUUAUUACUCAUAAAGAUAAGCUCUGAAUUUAUGUUAUAAGAUGGUAUACACUGUUUAAAUAUGUAGUAAACAAACACAUAAGGGAUAACAAUUUGAAAAUAUCUUUUUAUUUCAUCAUCUAGAUUGCAUUUAAAAAGUUAAUUUGAAUAAAAUCAAUUAAUUUUUUAUAUUACCCAUUGACUUCAAUAUAUAGUUUUAAUGUCAAAUAUAUGAUUUUUUUCCAUUAGCGAAAACGCGAAGCCUCACUAAUAACUGUUUAUCAAAUAUAUAACACAAAUGAACUUCAAUAAGUGGCUACCAUUGAUACUCAUUCGACGAUCGCGCAAGAUCCGAUGGAUCUGAUUCAGAAUAUAAAUCAGAGUGGCUGUUCCCCUUGACUCUCUUCCAUGUUGAAUUAUCUAUGCAUAAAGCAGAAAGAGAAAUAUAUGAAAUAGUAUUAUUUUUUUUGAUUCUAUGUGUAUGAAAAAAAAAUUAGUAUAGGAUUUGCAUUUUUUAAGUCCUUUGUUUAAAAGUACAUAUAACGUUUAGACAAUGAACCAAUUUGAAUGAAAACACAAAAGCCAGCUAGGAGUGUUUAUACAAUAAAGAAUAGACAAGCAACUACAUUUUUGUCUUUAAAUUCUCCACUUUCAUUUUUAUGUCUUAGUAUCUUGAACGUUUUUUCUUCAUUGAGGAACAUACGUUGAAUACUUGAUGUUUAUUUUUGACUAUUUUUCUGGUUUUUUGACUCUACUCACGUUGUUGUUUAACCCAUAUCGCCGUGAUACAACUUAAGGUGGUACCUUGCACCUUCACGAAAAUUAAUUUGGCUAGUUUAAUUUUCUUAAAAUUUUUACAGAGUAUUUACUUUGACCCUUUGACAAAAAUGUAAAAAUUUCCAAAAAAUUGAACCAACCAUUUUAUCAGAAAAAUUACACUAAUUAUGAUCAUUGAGAAGCUUAAUAUUCUCAUAACAACAAAACGUAAUUAAAACGUUUAGCUGAUUUUACAGAGUUAUCUCCCUGUAGUGUUAGAUACCACCUUAAUGAAUGAUAAAGGAUAUUUGAUCCUUAAAAGUGAGAAUGGUGGGAGGAUAUCAAAGAAGUGAAGAAAAUCUAAUAUUCAAAAUUAAUAAUUGUGGUUUUAAAAUGUUUUUUGUCUCAGUUUUUCCUGUCGUUAUUUAGUAACAUAAGCUAGUGCUAAAUUUUUUUUUAUGAAAAAAUGAAAUUAGAUUAACUUAAUUAGUUGGAAAAAAUGAUCAGAGAGAAUAUGGUUUCUUUAAUAAAGUACAUAAAAUUUCUGAACAUCUUAUUCAAUGGGCAGAUUCACAAAUGUCUCGGCAUGGUAUAUAUUUCCUAUUGAAACCAAAAAAAAAAAGGAACUGGCUUUGAAUGAAUUCUCAAAUAACGCACCAUGAUUUACAAAGGAAACAGAUUUCUAUUAUAUUCCUGUAAAAAUAAACGUGUAGCAAGCGGUUCCUUCUGCAAUGAUCUUUAUCAUCUCUUUUUUGUUAUGCAUUUUUUUUCAAAAUAGUUUGAUCAAAUUAUCGCUUAUUAUAAAAACAAUGCAGAAAAAUAUUCCUCUAGGACUUGGAAAGUGAAUAUCUAAUUGAUUUAUGUAUUGUAUUAUUGUUUGAAUUCAUCUUUGAAAGAACACUUUUUUAAUUGAAUAAACUUAAAAGUCUGCUAUAGGUUUUUCCCAAAACUUAAUCAUGUAAUCUUAUUUUACGAAAGCACAGAGAACAUUUGAAUCGAAUAAUUACGUAUACAUUGAAUAUUUAUGUUUUAAACCAUACCGUCUAAAUUAAGGCGCAUAUUUUAUUAACUUAUUUUAAAUGGAUAUUACAUUUUUGUUUUAAGAUAUGAUUAUAUAUUAGUACCUUGUAUAAUUCAUAUCAAAUGAACCUAAGCAAAAUAUAUUAAAAAUCUAAAUACUGAAAUAAUGAAGCGUAUUUCUCUUUCUCUUAUUUUAGUUUUGAAUUUGAGAAAAAUAUUGAAGCCUCAACUUUUUCGUUUUAAUAACUGUGCAGUAUGAAGUUGGAUAUCUAUACUAUUAAACGAGAAGACCUCAUUUUGUGUGUCGCUUCUCUUCCUUCCACAAUAAAUCAAUCAUCAUGCCUCUGUGUCCUAUAGGUAACAUUCAUAGUCGCAUUUGUCAUCCAUUCUAAUGAUUAUUUAGAUUGAGUAAUUUUGGGAGAACAACGACAAAAAAGGAGUCCGGAUAUGAUUCCGUGAUCAAACUGUCUUUUAGUCAUAGAUAAGACUUCCGGUUUGAAACAUGCACAAAUACAACCAAUCGUAUGAUAGAUAACAAAAAUGAAAAAUAGAUAAGCCAAUCAAAGCGUUCUCCAUAUCAUUGUGUUUAGAUCGCAAAAAUCACAACUAUUUUACCUCCUUAGAGAGGACAAUUAUUUUUCGCGUUUAUCUACAUGUAAACUACAAUUAUACGUUAAUAUAUAGAGACUCUCUGUAUUCUGUCUACUGUUUUUUUUUUAAAUGUUUACUAUUUAAGGGAUCAUACCAGUUGCAUAUAUAUUAAAAUAAGUAAAACAUGUGACACAAGUACAAUCAAUCGUAGAGCGUCCUCCAUAUCAUCAGUAGCCUUUUCAAUAGUCGUCUGGCGCGAAAAGGACGAUAACUCAAUUUUAGAAUUUAAUAUUUUUGGAGACGGUCAAUUUCCGGAAUUGCAUGCUUUAUCAUCAGGAUUGUUUUCUUUGGCCGUCGACGACAGAACUAUUGCUGCAUUCUUUGACUCUAAGAUAUAUUUAACAAGGCAGUAUUAUCAAUGUAUUAUCGUGGUAUCGAUAUACGUUAAUAAUGCUAGAUACCUGAAUUAAUUGUAAUUUUGGCAAGGACAAUGCAUCCCUUCCCCUGAAAACAUGAUUUUGUAAAAUAUCACUUAUCGGCAUCUCCGGCGGCAAACCAGAUCAAUUUCCCGAUGUUCUUUACUACAACAUUCUGGUUGUUUUUAAAUGCUACAUACUACCGUUUUUUUUUAAUUAUAUGCGUGUUUGUUUACAUUAUCAACAAAUGUGAGUAACAUUCUAGGUUGAGUUGUCGUUCAUAGUGUAUAGUGUGUUCCAAACCAUUAGUUGUUUCUGGUACAGGUUGGCAGUUCUUUAUCCAUAAUAAAGUUAUUGCAACUAAAAUACAUGUUAUCUUCAGUGUGUUUUUUUCUUUUUUUUAAAUAGUAAUUGUUGAUAAAAACAAAAUGUUUAAAAUGCAUUUGGAAGACAGGAUUUUCAUGUAAAUAUUAUUUCCCUUGUUUAAAAAUAGAAAUUGCGUGUUUCCUUAUUUAACGAUUUACAUGCAACUUUUCAGUACAUAUUUAAUAAAUUUAAAAGAUCUUGCUGUUUUAAAUUCAUUAUUAAAGAUAAUUAUUUAUGUUCUAAACUUCAAUAUUUGCAGCGUUGCUUAUCAUUUAUAACUUUUGUUGAAAGACUUAAUCAUGUUAUAUAACUCGUUUAUAAGAAUAUAGUUGAUUGCAAGCACUCUAUAUCGCUAUACAGGGCUGCCUAGGCUAAAGCUGUAUAUGGUUGUUGACAUCUCUAACUAAUUGAGAUGUUUGCGGACUGAAGUUUAGUGCCACCAAGGGUUGCUGUUUACUGUUGGAUGCAUUUUAAACUAAUACGGUUAUUCAAAGCUACAUUUCUCUACUGUUGGUCUACAUAAUCAAAAAUCUACUAUUGAUUGAAUUAUUUAUUGUUUUAAUUUUUUUUUAAAACUUAGAUAGCACUAUUACAUUCGUCUUUCUAUUUAUCAGUUGUUAAAUAAGACCAAUCUGUGGUCUGCAUUCCCUGCAUAAUUGAUCCUUUUACGUAUACAUACAUGUCAGACCCCCGCUCCCUUAUUUUUAAUGCUUUCAAUUAUUGGUGGACAGGAAUUGAUUCCACGUCCUCCCUAAAAUCCUAUCACUCCAUAUCUUUCCUGCACUCCUAUUUUUCAUCAACAUGCAUUAACCCUUUUUAACACACUUUUCUCACGAUUAAAAACACCCUGUCUCAAGCUUUCUCCAUCAAAUUCUCAUUUCUGUGCUCUCAUUCCAGUCCCAUAAUUAGUCACCCCUUAUCAGUGUUACAAUGACUCGCACCCAUUAACACCCUCAUUCGCGACAAAUUAUAUUAUACACCUGAUUUCUUUCUACAUGCAAAAAUUACGAGUCAGAUUUGUUUGCCUUGAAAUAAUGGCCAUUUUUUCACACAUCUCGUUUUCAACUCCCAUGCAUAUUUUUUGUUUACUAUCAACUACAGGCCUCACGCACACAAUACAAACUAUCUUUCACAAAACACAAAGAUUACAUAGCAAAUAAUUAUCAGGGUUUCUACUAAAGUUUACUUGCAUCCCAAAAUGAGAAAUUAAUUAUAAAACAUGGUUAAGCAAAAUACAUCUAGAAGAUGUUUUAAAAAUAGACUAUAGUUGAUGAGCAUCCCCACGUGUAACAGAUUAUCUUUCCUGGAUUUAAACACAUUGAGAUGAGAUGAAUUGUCUCCCUUUAAUAACAGCUAGUACCAAAUCACGAUUAUUUUUUUGUGAUUUUUUAUUGAUUAACAUACUUAAUAAAGAAAAGGAUUUUACCUUCAAUUUCGAGGUCUCACAAAGGCUUUUUCACCUAUUAUUCUAAUUUUACAUUAAAAACCCAAAUUUUGAUGAAAAGAAUCUUGGUGUUUAGAUCGCAAGAAUCACAACUAUUAUACCUCCUUAGAGAGGACAAAUAUUUUUCGCGUUUAUCUACAUGUAAACUACGAUUAUACUACUUUAAUAUAUACAGACUCUCUGUAUUCUGUAAGGGAAUUUCUAUGUUAGUAUAGAAAGUCCCUGAUUCUGUUUACUGUUUUCUUUGAAAUAUUUACUAUUUAAGGGGUCAUACCACUUGCAUAUAUAUUAAAAUUAGUAAAACAUGCUCAACUUCAUCUAAAACUACCAAAAACUUUUACCUGAAGUGGGACAGUCGGACGAAACGGACGGACGGACGACCGAACAAACGAACGCACGGAUGUGCAGACUAGAAAACAUAAUGCCCAUAAUUGGGGCAUAAAAAUUUAUUGUUUAAAGGGAAAAUAGUGAUUUGGCAAAAAAUAAUUAGAAAGGUAGAGAUUAGAAGGAUGCAGGACCUUUUUCGGGGCGUCGGGAUCGGGUGCUUUUAAGCUCGGGACUUGGGGAUUGAUCCUUACGGGAUCCGGGAAAAUAUUUUUCGAUUUUGGGAUAUGAAUUUCUUUAAAUUCUGCAUCUCGGGAUUUUAUGGUUUUAAGCCCGGGAUUUCGGGAUCAGGACCCCUCCGGGCAACCCUUCAAAUUAGCCUUAGUCGGUAUUAAUCAUUUAUACACGAUUUAAAUCCUACCAUUGGCAUGUUAAUAAGGCUCUCAAAGAAAAAAGCACUGAUAAAUUGUCAUAGAAGCAUAUUUUUUAGACUAAUAAUGGUCUAUAUAUAAGCAGUUACAUUUAUUUCAUGUUUGAAACGGUGCAAAUUUUUAAUUUGAUUUGACUUUUACCAAAAAGAAGCAUUGUAGCAAAGGAGAAUAAUUGUGGUCGUAGGCCAGAAACACGAAUAUAAUUGAAUUUAACAGAAAGGAAACACAUAUCGGACUUUGAAAAAAGGGAGAGGGCUUUUGAUACCUUUUAUGUAAUUCUCCAUACAUAAUAUCUUUUACAAAAAAUCAUACUACAACAGUUCACAAGCUGUAUAUGCCCGCGAUUUCGCGGGUGUGUUUUAGUAUUAUUUAUAUUUGGAUUUUGCCUUUCGUAAUGGACCUUUCGUUUGAAUUUUUCUUGGAAUUUUUUGUUGUUGCUUUUUAUAACUUACGAACAGCCCUUGUUUGUGUAAAUGACUUUCAUCAUGAACGGUGGGAACAAAGCAUUAAUUGAGAAAGAAAAUUAAAUAUAAGUACGUGAAAGAGUUACUGUUCACAUUUUGGCUGUUAAUUUUGUUUUGCAAAUCCCUUUUUAGCAGAGCCUCAAUUAUUAGAACGUUUGUGAGGAUAAAAGGACAAGUAAGGAAUAAUGGUCUUGGUUUAGAAAAUAUACACUGAAUAAAAAUUAUCUACAGUUUAUCAUACAUGUCGUUUAAUAUUACAAAUAUAACAAAACAAAAGGAACACUUGUACCUUGUAAGCAUGAGAAUGGAAAUAAAGUCUACGAUAACUAUCAAAAGUCUAUUUAAUAUCCGGAAUGGAUUCAAAUUGCAUACAACACAAUUUUUAAGUUAAUAUAAGACAAUCGAUUCUUGGAACAGUUCUGAGUAAAUGAUAAGUAAUCUAUUGAUUUGGUUUGGAACUUUCAAUAAAAAUUCCAAAUCUCAGACAAGUUAUGUAAUGAAACAGAAUUAUUAUAAUUGACAAUUAUGUACUCUAAAAGAAUUUCUAUUCUGUCUGUUCUAAAUAAUUAUAAAUGUAACAUGUGUGAAGCAUCCUUUCAAAGUUAAUAGUGCAGGUGUACUGGCUAGCCAUAUUAACUGCGCAAUAAUAAGCGACAAAAAGUCAUUUAAAGUCAUUUAAAAUAGCGACUAGAAGCAAUCAUUUUGAUAUAUAGUAGUUUAAAUGUAUACACAUAUUUAAAGAAGAAAAGCAUAAAACACAUCCAACUUCAAAGGAAAGACCGAGCAAGACGACAAAUUUGGGAAUGAAAUAAGGUGCUCCAGGAUUACAUACAGCGGGGCAUCCAUCGCGUUCGGCACUUUGUCAGAACUAAUGUCAACCACUUUCACAAAACCAGGGAAAUUAAAACAUUCUUAAAAUAGAUGUGUCAAAUAAAGGCAACAGUAGUAUACCGUUGUUCAAAACUCGUAAAUCUAUGGACAAAAACAAAAUCGGGGUAACAAACUAAAACUGAGGGAAAUGCAUUGAAUAUAAGAGGAGAACAACGGCACAACAUUAAAAUGUAACACACACAGAAACGGACUAAGCAUUAGACAAAAUCCGAUGAGAAUAACAAAUAUAAUAUCAAAUCAAAACCAAAUACAUGAAUAUGAGAUAGAAAAGUACCGUGACACGUCUUAUAGUAAUGUGAAUUUACACUCAAAUAGAACAGAAAACAAACGACACAACGGAAAUACAACGUAAAAAUGUUACACACAGAAACGAACUAUGAUAUAACAAUGGCCAUUUCCUGACUUGGUACAGGACAUUUUUAAAGACAAAAAUGGUGGGUUGAACCUGGUUUUAUGGCAUGCCAAACCUUGCACUUUAAUGGCAAUGUUAAAUAUAACAUUAAAAUGACAACAAAAUAUUACAGGACUACAUUGCAAAUAAAUAGGAGAACGUAUUAGGCAAAGAAACACAUGAAUAAUAGACGAUCAUAAGAAUGGCCCCGUCUCAAAAAGUUCAAAUUUCAAUAAAACUUGUGGAUACAAACAUGAUGGUAGUCUCACAUAUCAAAAAUCAGUUCAAAAUCUGGAUGCGUAUAGAAAAAAAGUCUGUAAUCUGUGUUUUCCAACAAUUUUCAAAGUUGUAAACUCUUAAUUUUGGCAAGAAUUAGGGGAGCGGAACAAAACUUUAACUUGAUCUGUAACUAAUCAUGAGUAACUCACAUACCCAAAAUCAGCCCAAUAUCUGAAAGCGUUGAGAAAAAAAGUCUGUAUAUCCGCGUCUUAUCAAUUGCUUUAGAAUGAAAGUGAAAUUUUAAAAAGAAGAAAGGAAAAAUGUAGACCUUUUAUGUUAUUAAUCUUUACAGAUUCUAACGUAUUAGAAUUUUAAACUUUGUCAGAAUGAGGUAAACUGAACUUUCAAUCUACACCAAGAAUACAGACACAACAAUUGUCUUAAUUUAAUGUAUCUUUGGUAAAGCAAUACAUUGAUAAAUAAGAUUACACAUGUAUAUGUGUAUACGUGUGCGUAAAGGAACACACAUUAAUAGAUAAUGGCGAGUCGGAAAGUGAUUAACAUUAUAACAAAUCCAUUUUUGACAUUUUUACCAUUUAUGUCUGUUUGUUUUGUUCAUACAUCGUUGUCAGUAUCAUAGCUUCAUGUAGCUUUAAAAUGAGACCAUUUUCUACAAAAGAAAAUACCUGCACCAAGUCAGGAAUAUGAUAGUUGUUAUCCAUUUGUUAGUUGUGUUUGAGGUUUUGGUUUUGCCAUUUGACUUGACAUUUUCUGUUUAAAAUUUUCCUCAAAGUUCUUUAUUUUUGUUAUUUUACUUUUGAAUGCAUUCAAAAUUGUAUAGUUAAAAUUAUGGGUCGAGUAAAUUGGUUUAGAAGUGAUUUGUAAACAAACAAGUUGAUUCAACGAGUUUCUUCGAUUGGUUUUGUUCGUGGCUGUCAGAAUCAGAAUCAGAAUCUGAAAUGGAUUUGUUAACUUUUUGUUACGGAGAAAACUAAUUUGAAUGCUGUAUUUGGACGGUAUAUUUAAAAUUUGAAUAAUUAUUAAGGAGGAUAUAAUAGAAAAAUAUUGAUACAUUUAGAAGAUCGUUAUGAGUGUUAGUUCUUAUGGUAUAUGUUAACGAUACCACUAUUCUCCCAAGUCUUUUACUAAAACUAUAUGCCACUUUAGAUAUUGAAUUGGUCGUAAUCUUAUAAAUAGCUGGUUCAAAUAUCUUACCAAUUGUAAAGUUGUUUAGUUAUGCAACAAAAGUAACAAAUUACCAAAAAAAUGUGAUUAUAGAUUUUUCUCAGAAAAUUUGUCUAUACUUUUUUAAAAAUUUUACAUGAGUAAUGUUUUAUUUUUGUUGUUGCUUCACUAACCUUUGAUCCACAACUUCUUUCAUUCUUGGAGUACUAUAUAUUCUGAACAUGUCUCUUCUAAAUGUACCAGUGAAAUUUUAAGCAUACUUUUUUUUUUAAAUCCAUGAUGUAUGACAAACGUAUAUAAAAAAAAUAGCCAGUCAAAUAAUGUGUAACCUGGGAGGAAAGAACACUCAUUUGCUUUCCCUUUUUAAUUUUAUAAUGUACUAAAAGUUUUAUAUCGGAAGAAUUAAUUUUGAAUGUUUCUUAUAAUGAUAGCGUUCAAAAUCUCUUGUUGUUUGUUUUUUUAUGAGUAGUGUAUAAUAAAAUUAUAUUGUUUUCUAGAAUGCCAUUGUCCACCAAAAUGUGUAUGGAAACUACGGUCUUGCCUACAGACAGGAAAAUGUGAACUCUGUCGGAAACCACCAUAUGGAAAACGACAGGUUUGUUUAAUAUCUUAUUAUUCAAAGCAUUCUUGAGCAAUUGGAAAAUAAUAAGUUGCAGCCAAAAAAAAAUACAUACAUUUAUACUUUCAGAUAAUAAAUGUAAUUUGUUGAAUUCAGUUCUACGAAUUUUCUAUACUGUUAAUAACUUUUAUAACUUAAAAAAACGUUUUUAAGAUAUGAUGGAUUACAAAAAGAUAUCUUCCAAAGAUUGUUUUUCGCCGAUUUAUUUUGCUUUCUAUACAUAUUUUAAAAGAAUUCAAUCAGUAAUAUUUCAGAAGAUAAUAGAGAUAAAUGGAUUAUUUCUUUUCUUUCUCAGUUUAAUCUACCAAUUAUAUUUGAUCGUAACAUCAUUUUGCCAUACAAUAGGUAGACAUCGUGUCAGGGAAAGCAUUAUUUAUAGCAUUUCUUGCAAUUGUUUUUCGACUUUUCUUGUGAAAAUUCUAUUCCAGUCUAUAUAAAACUAAUUUCCAAUUUAUCUCUGAAAACAUAAAAGCUUUAUAUAGAUUUUUGUUCAUGGUUUUAGUAUUAUACCAUUUGUCUUAUAUGUAACCAUACAAUUAAAGAUUACCUAUUUAUAUGUAACCAUACAAUUAAAGAUUACUUAUUUAUAUGUAACCAUACAAUUAAAGAUUACCUAUUUAUAUGUAAGCAUACAAUUAAAGAUAAACUAUUUAUAUGUAACCAUACAAUUACAAAUAACCUAUUUAUAUGUAACCAUACAAUUAAAGGUAACCAAUGUACAAGAUAUCACAAUAUUCUUAUAUAUGGGAUAUAAUUCUCGCGUUUACAGACAAUGGACAGAUACGAAAGUGAUACACAAACUCACAAGUCGAAAACAGACUGACAAUACAAUGACAAAAAAAUGAUCCAAACACAAACGACAUAGAAAACAAAAAACUUAGCAACACUAACACCCCCAAAAAUCGGGGGUGAUCUCAGGUGCUGUGGAAAGGUAAUCAGAUCCCGCUCCACAUAUUGCACCCAUCGUUUUUCACAUUUAAAUAUUGAAAAGUUUUAUGAAAACAAGUAUUUUCAUUGCAGGAUUCCCACAUGGCAGACAUUGAAUCCUCAGAUUAUCGGAAGCAAAAGACGUUUGAAGAUAUACAUAUGCUUGCUCUGUUAUGAACAGACUUGUCCGAACGGGAAAUUCAGCUCAUCGUUUUAUAUGCUGUGUCCUUUUAUUAAAUAGAUUUUUAUUGAAAUUAUUUUGUUAUCAUUUGAAAAGUUUGGCUUACACCCUUUUAUCACAAUGUUAUUUGAAGAACUAACAUAAGCAUUAUACGAAUGGAAAUUUAAAGCAGAAAAUUUACUAGUAUACUUAUGUUGUAAUUCACAAUAACUGUUUAAAAUCUUUCGAGUACAUUGAAAUUAAAAAAACAUAAUAUUGUUAUAAAAAUUACUUUGUUAGACGAUUUAGUACGCAACCAGACACCACUUAAAAAACCCACACCAACCAACUACUACGACUUUAUUUCUGUCACACUUUUUAACAAUAAUGAUGUAAAUUUUUCGUCAUACAAACCUUUAUGGAUUGUAAAUAAGGCAAAAAAGUUGAUAGCUAGUUACAUACAAGAUAUAAACUUAACUGCAAAACUGUAGUAGAAAAUCAUAGCAACGACAAAGUGCCAAUGUGUAAAAAUAAGUUAUUCAUUCUUUUUUAUAUAAAUUAGGCCGUUAGUUUUCUCGUUUGAAUUGUUUUACAUUGUGUUUAACAUUGUCAUAUCGGAGCCUUUUAUAGCUGACUAUGCGGUAUGGCUUUGCUCAUGUUGAAGCCGUACGGUGACUAUAGUUGUUAAUGUCUGUUCAUUGGUCUUUGUGGAGAGUUGUCUCAUGCAAUCAUACAAUCUCUUUUUUUAUAUGAUUUGAUAGAGAAAAAUAAGACAACAUCCACCAGAAUCAAAAUGACCAGACCUUACAACUCUAGUCACCGUACGGUCUUCAACAAUGAGCAAAGCCCAUACCGCAUAGUCAGCCAUAAAAAGCACCUACAUUACGAUUGUAAAACAAUUCAAACAAGACAGUCAACAACUUGAUUUACUACAAAACGAUGAACGAAAAUCAAAUAUGUACAUCAACAAACUAAAACUACUAUAUAACAGCUAGGCUACUGAUUUGUAACAGACACUUAUAGAAUGUGGCGGGAUUCAACUAGUCAAAUUGUUGGCACCAAUCUCGCCCCAAUGCUCGAGAAAUGCUCUUCAACUUUUUACUCGUUUUGCUAUAUAACUAUUUUGAUCUGAGCGUCACUGAUGAGUCUUAUGUAGACGAAACGCGCGUCUGGCGUAUUAAAUUAUAAUCCUGGUACCUUUGAUAACACAUGACAACCGUACAAUUUAAGAACAAAUUUAAAAAAUAGCUGACAAGGCCUGCAUAUAUAUAUAUAUUUUCAAGUUUUGAAAGAUAAGUUCAGAAAUUUCGAAGGCCGGACUUAUUUUUUAUUUUUUGUGUAUGUAAGCCACCAAUCAUAGUAGGAACAUUCAAAUUUUUAGAAGAGGCAUUAAGCUGUGAUGUGGUUAUGAUAUUUUUUUUACUAUAUGACUCUUUGUAGAAGGCACGUACUUGAAGUAGAAGAGUAUAUGAUCUCGUACUUUAGCAAAUAGUAAAAUCACAAAAAUACUGAACUCCGAGGAAAAUUCAAAACGAAAAGUCCCUAGUCAAAUGGCAAAAUCAAAAGCUCAAACACAUCAAACGAAUGGUGGAUUGAACCUGGUUUUAUACCUAGCUAAACAUCUUACUUGUAUGACAGUCGAAUCAAAUUCCAUUAUAUUGACAACAAUGCGUAAACAAAACAAACAGACAUACUAGGUAAAAAUCUCAAAAAGGGGUACAUCAGUCAACAUUGUGUUAUACUCUUAAUCACUAUAAAAACAAACAAAUGCAUAACAAAGGAGCACGAAAAGGCAUAUAUCAAAUUUAAAAAUCUCAUUCAUUGUUUUUUUUUAUUAUACUAUUUUGUUUAUCUAUGUUAAAUCCACUCAUAAAGGAUUGCAAGAUUUUAAGUACUGCGACCGAAUCCUUAGAUAUAAAGUUUUGAAGUUGAUAAAAUCAAUUAUACCUCCGUUUAUAUAUUAAAUUUUCAGAAAAUGCCGUUAAUGAUCUUCAGGUUUAUCGAUACGUGGGAAUAGCAUUUGCUGACAGAAAGCUAGAUAUUUAUUAAGCAGUCAGUAAACCACAUUGUAUCACACUCCCUGAAAAUAUCGUGAAACUUACUAAUUCGUAUUUGACAAAGUUUUCUGUUGCCUUUAUUUAUAUCAUAAUGAGUGCCCAUUAAUGUUUAAAAAACGGAUAGGAAAUCAUCAAGAGUAUAUUUUAUUCGACGAUUAAUUCGUUGAUUUCGAUACAUACGUUUGCCAUGAGACCUGUCUUUUAUCGUGAAUAUUCAUAUACCAGCAUUGUCAUGAAAAUGGUUUGGACUGUUAUAAUGAAAAUAAUUGUAUAACGUUCUAGAUUACAUGAUCUUUACGUAAGUGCGUCACUGUUUGUGUUGUUCUAUGGAGUAUGUCGCUGAUUACGACCUUUAAUGUUUUACUUUUACAAAUUGCGACUUGGACGGAGAGUUGUCUCAUUUGCACUCAUACCACAUCUUCUUAUAUCUAUAAAUCUGGAAAAAUUAUUAUGUUUAUAAACAAAAUCACCAAACCCUUAAUAAGCAAACAUAGAAAUGUCAUUAUGUAAAUUUUAGCAAAGAUUGGACGAUAAAUGGAAAUUGUGUGAAGAUGUUUGUUUUCAAUUGAGUAGCAAGUAUCGAGUUGUAUUCAAAGCACUGACGUACUAGUACCUAGAAUGAUUCGAAGAUCUGAUGAAUGUCUAAUGAAAAGCACAGAAUUAAAAUUGAGAAUGGAAAUGGUGAAUGUGCCAAAGAGACAACAACCCAACCAUAGAGCAACAACAGCAGAAGGUCACCAACAGGUUAAUGCAACGAGAAAUUCUCGCACCCGGAGGUGUCCUUCAGCUGGCCCUAAACAAAAUAUAUACUGUUCAAGUGAUUGAACACCAUACUAAACUCCAAAUUAUACACAAGAAACUAUAAGUUAAAAUAAUACAAGACUAACAAAGGCCAGAGGCUUCUGACUUGGGACAGGCGCAAAAAAUGCGGCGGGGGUAAACAUGUUUGUGAGAUCUCAACCCUCCCCCUUACCUCUAGCCAAUGCAAGUAACUCAUAACAAUACGCACAAUAAAAUUUAGUUCAAGAGAAGUCCGAGUCUGAUGUCAGAAGAUGUAACCAAAGAAAAUAAACAAAAUGACAAUAAUACAUAAAUAACAUUGAAUCUAUCUGUAGAAUGUUAGAAAUAACUUGCAGUUGUUUUAUAACGUCUAUUAUCAUAUAUUUGCAUAAAAUCGAGGACAAUAACAGAUAUUGAAAAGUGCAAGGCACUAUCUGAACGCCGGACAAUUAAUUCAAUAAAUGUUUCCUGUCCGAUAAAACGGCAAACAGAAACCCUACAAUGAAAACAUGUCUUCCUAAUCUUAUCCAAUCAUGAUCAUGUGUAUAUAAAAGUUAGACUUUGACUUUGAAAUCAAAGAGAAAAGGCCAAUUUCUAACCUGAAUAUCUUUUGGACAAUAAGCUUAAGUAUAAAUCUGCCACAAUUAAAAGGUUUAGAAAUACAAUCAUAAGAAUCUAAAUAAGCACACAUACAAAUGCCAUUAUGUAAAUUUUAGUAAAUAUUGGAAGAUAAUUCGAAAAUGGACCCAGUGUGAAGAGGUUUACUUUCAGUUGAGUAGCAAGUAUCGAGUUGUUAUCAAAGCACUGACUACAUUCUACUACAGAUAACGACAAGAUCAGAUGAAUGUCAAAUAAAAAGUACAGAAUUUACUCUCCCUGUAGACUGUUAGAAAUAACCUCCAGUUGUUUUAUAACGUCCAUUAUCAUAUAUUUGCUUAAAAUAUAGGACAAAAAUAGGAAAGGAAAAGUGCAAGGCACUAACUGAACGCCGGGUAAUUAAUUCAAUAAAUGUUUUCAGUCAGAAAAAAUGUCAAACAGAUGUCCUACCGGGAAUAUAUAUCUUCCUAUUCUUUUCGAACUUGUAGAUGGGUACAUUAAAAAUUAGACUUUCACAUUGAAAUCAGAGGGAAAAGGCCAAUUUCCCACUGAUUCUAUUUCAUAGUAGCCGCAAAAACAUAUUUUUACAUUUUUACUUAAAUUCACAGCUCCGUAACUGUACUUAUAGAUUCUCACAAUUACAAGGAUAUUGAGCCAAAGUUAUAAAUGAAGAUUGCACGCAAUUGUGUCAGAAUUCGGAUAAGUUCUAAUACUUAUCCCCAAAUAGACAAGUUGUGUUGGAUAUUCUCAUUGAAGAUAUAUAUAUAUAUAUAUAAAAAAAAAAAAACAAAUUGCCGUUUAAAUUUUUAUAACGUAAUGCAUUUAGGUACAUGUUAUAUUGGUGUGUGACGCCCGUAAAGUUUUGACAUUGACAUUGCGGUAUGGUGUGUUUUACAUAUCAACUGCGAUGUCUAACAUAUUUUUAUAAAUCUAUUUUUUUUUGGUAAGAUGUUGUUCUCAUUAUUUAUUUGUUUCGAAAAUAAUUAUAACUUGCCAAAAUUUAAAUGUUUAGAAAUAAAACCAUUAGGAUCUAAAUAAGCACACGUAAAAAUGUCUUUAUGUAAAUUAUAGUAAAAUUUGAAGAUAAAUCAAAAUCAGACCUAAUGGUACGAUGUUUGAUUUCAGUCAAGUAGUAAGAAUCGAGUUGUAAUCAAAGCACUGACUUACUACUACUUCGGAUGAAGCGAAGAUCUGAUGAAUGUAAAAUAAAUACUACAGAAUUUAAUCUCUCUGUAGCCUGUGAGAAAUAACCUGCAGUUGUUUUAUAACGUCCAUUAUCAUAUAUUUGCAUAAAAUUUAGGACAAAAACAGAUAUUGAAAAGUGUAAGGCACUAUCUGAACGCGGACAAUUAAUUCAAUAAAUUUUUUUCUGUCCGAUAAAAUGCCAAACAGACGCCCCGUGGCGAAUAUAUGUUCUUUAUCCCUAUUUUGACAAGAAUAUGUGUACACGUAUACAAAAGUUAGUUUUGACUUUGAAAUCAAAUGAGUAUGAACAAAUUCCCCCUGAAUCUAUUUUACGAUAGCGACAAAAAUUCUUUACAUCUGUUCGUAAAUUCACAGUAUUAGAGCUCCAUGAGUGUACAUAUAGGUUCUUACAAUAGUUGGCUGAUUCAAAAAUUAAUAUUCAGACCAAAGUUAUAAAUGCCCGCAAUUGUGAUAAUUUUUUAUAUUUAUUCCAAAAAUAUAAAAGAGAGACAUUCUCAUUGUUGUAUUUUGAUACACAUUAUUUUGGUAAGUGACGUCAUUACAAUUUUAAACCAAAAUGACUGCGUUAGCAGCUUGUAGAGUCCACGUAUUCAUGUAUUAUUAAAAAAAAAUAAUGUAAACGACACCGUAUGUGUUUCUUUAUUCUACAUUGGCUAGAGGGAUAGGGGAGGGUUGAAAUAUCACAACACAUGUUAAACCCCGCCGCAUUUUUGCGCAUGUCCCAAGUCAGGAGCCUAUAUAUGACCUUUCUUAGUCUGGUAUGUUUUUUUAAUUUUAGUUCAUUUAUAUGUUUUGGGGUUAAGUGUGACGUCCAUUUUCACUAAACUAGUACACAAUUUUGUUGCGGGUUCAGAUGAGGACCACCUCCAGGUGUGGGAUUUUCUCGAAGCGUUGAAGACCCAUUGGUGGCCUUCGGCUGCUGUCUACUCUUUGGUCGGUUGUUGUCUCUUUGACAUAAUUCCUAUUUUCAUUCUCAAUUUCAGUAUAAAAGUUUAAUGUUACUAAUCAGUAAUGCUUAUACAAAAACAAAUAGUAAUAAGUGGUAUGUAUUUCAUUUGAUCAUAUUCAUAGGUUUCAAAACAAGUGAGAACUGGAUAUCACUUUAUAUCAACUCGUGUUAUUUAAUUACAAUAUAAUAACAAAUGAGCCUCUGCUAGUUUAUUAUUACCAUUUAAAUUGAAAAGCGAGAGAUUAUAUCAAGCGAUAUCCAAUUAUCAAGAGUUUUUAAACCUAUUUCUCCUAUGGUCAACGAUCUUUUUGUGUUAGAUUGAUCUUGUCUUUUGCACGGUUUAUUCUGGCUAUUCCUACAUUUUGAAUUUUAUAGGUAAAAUAGUAAAAUCUUAUGUAGGAGUUCCCAGAAAUUUUAUGUAAACAAUGGGAUUAUGUAGGAUUAUGUUGUAACAAUAUUAAACUAAUGAAUCAAGGUAAAUCCUGGUAAAUCUUGUUGAAAAAAGGAAAAAGAAUAAUUUCCAUUACAAUAUUUUAUAAUAUAAUUAAAAAGCAAAUUUUGGGUAAAUAAUAUUUAAAAACACUAAAUAAAUUUAUAGACUCAAUUUAAUUCACAAGCGUUUGAAAUUAAUUAGGUGAAAACACAUUAAUAUAAACAAGUAAAUGAUAUCAAUUGAAAUAAAAACAUAUCAAAAUUGCAGUUGUUUUGUUUUAAAAAAGCACUAAACUUUUAGUUACACUACAUAUUCAUUGCAAUAAAACACCAAAAAUAUACUAAAUAGGCAUUAAACCAGAGCACUUAAACAGUAACAAAUUUUACUUAUUAAACACAGAAGAGAAUAUAAAGUCUGUAUCAAUGUUCAGUAGAUGAGAAGCAGCAUCUAUAUACUAGAUUGGUACAAGUUCACCAUUCUCUAACCUUGUUUUCAGUGUUUGAAUACAAAAAUAAGAUAAAGUGGUAUGUUUGCAUAUGCGACAACUCUCCACAACAGACCAAAAUGACACAUAUAUUAACAACUAUAGGUCACUGACGGCCUUCAACAAUUAGCAACACCCAUACCGCAUAGUCAGUUUAAAAGACCCCUAAAUUACCUAUAUCAGGCCAUGACAUACAUCAAAAUCACAAGUGCUGGCUCAGAAGCGGCGAGAAGUCGACAUGACACAGAAAAAGAAAACUUUGCUCAUAAAAAGUAUCAACAACUAAUGAGUGGAGGAGUAAGCAGACAUUUAGAACUCACUUAUCACAUAUUUAGUUUAUUACUUAUAUUGAGUAAGUAUUUUACAUGACAUAAACAGUCAUCUAACCAUAAAAAUGAGGUCAAGGACAACGGACAUAUGACAGACGGUAACUUUGUAACAUAAGAAAUCUGCAGAAAAAGUAUGAAGUAUCCAGGUUUUCUGAUUCUGAAAUAUAAACGCGUUAUCUUAACAGUUUAUCUUGUAACCACUGGUUUGUUAUCCUGAUUUCUCGCAGACAAUAAAAAAAAAAAAACAAAUAACAAAAUAAGUCAAAAUAUAUAUAUUAAAAAAAAACAACAGAAAAAUAAAAUAUAGGCAGGAGGUGAAAAGUUAGAUCACAUCAGAUUCACAUCGAUCCUAGAGUAGAAAGACUUGCGUGGAAUGUGUAGCCUGAUGCUUUGGUAUGUUAUAGGAAUAUAUACUUAUUAUCAAGUAGAGUAACAAGUCCAAAGCAGACAAAAAACUACAUCCAUCUUAGAUACAGUAACGACUUACGUGAUUUAAUAUAACCAAUUCAGGACUGUAGCAGUCUUUGGCCUUUUUGUUUUUCUUUGAUACCAUGUCGUGGCUCUGUACUUAUACAUCCCGUCAUUAUGUUAUUAUGAUAUUGUAAUUUUUUGUCUUUCGUUGUUGCUAAUGCUCCUUGUCUAUAUGCCUUUUUGUGUUUUCUUUGUUACAUAUUUGUUUGUUUUAUAGUAAUUAAGAUUAUAACACAAUGUUGGCUGAUGUUCUCUAUUUUAAACAUUUUUACCUAUUACAUCUAUUUGUUUUGUUCGCACAUCGUUGUCAAUAUAAGGAAUUUUGUGCGAUUGUCAUAUCAGUGAGAGGUUAAGCUAAAUAUAAAACCAGGUUUAACUAACCACUUUAUACAUAAAAAAAAAUGCCUGUACCAGGAAUAUGACAUUUGCUAUCUAUUCGUGUGAUGUGUUUGGGCUUUUGAUUUUGCCAUUUGAUUAGGGACUUUCGUUUUUAAUUUUUCACAUAGUUUAGUAUUUUUGUGAUUUUAUUUGUUGCACUUGUUUCACUUUAAAGUUUCGUAUUUUUAUCUUUGUCGAAGUAAAAUUUAUUUUAUAAAUGGUUGUCUGUUUGUUAAGGGCAAAACGUAUCUUAGAAAUAAAAGGGAACAUGUUCUAACGUUCUACAUUGUUAUAAGAAACACGAUGUUUUCUAGUUUUAUUAUGAAUAUUCAAUGGAGAUAUAUUUUUACUAAAAUCGUGGUAGCCGAUUUGACAUAUAAAAUCGGUUUCUAUUGUUUUGUAGAAUUAUUUUUCCAUUGAACUUGAACUAAUUAAACUUUAACCGGAAAUUAAUUGUUAAUUUUGUCUUUAUUCGUAUAUCAAAGUUGCCUUAUAUGUCAGAAAGACUAAUCUGUAUAGUCAUAUCAGAUGGUAAAUAACGUCAUUUCACAAGUAAACAAAAAUUUGAGAGUCACGGUUUUAAAUAAAAUGAAACUACAAAAGAUUACGUUCAAAUUGAUGGAGUUAUUAUAUUAAACUAUUAUUAAAUUAGGGUUAUUUUUACGCAGUAAUUAUACUUUAUGACUCGACAAAAUUUUCCUAGUGAUUUAUUGAUGUUGAACUGGAUCUAGUAACCCGUAAACUGAAUUAAGUUUAUUUUCUUACAGACGCCAAUCAUAAAUUGCAUAAUUGUUCUAUAAAGAUUUAUAAAAGAAAAAACCAGAGCAAACACAAUUUAACAGUCUUCUAGGAAACAUAAUUCAUUUAUUAUAAUAUACUUGUACAUGUAUCAUAAUAUACCUGUAUGCAUAUCCUUAAGAAGCGAUCUACAACGGUCAAACCACAAAUUCAUAUAAAGCAUGGGAAAAUUACCAGAGGGACAUUCAAACUGGAAGAUCGAAAAUAAACUGACGACACCCUGACUAAAAAAGAAAAAGACAAACAGACAAAUAAUAGUGCACAAGACACAAUAUAGAAAAAUAAAGACUAAGCAACACGAACCCCACCAAAAACUGGGGGUGAUCACAUGUGUAAAAGUAGCCCUUCCCUGACACAAUUAAUUACUUUUAGUGAAAUUGUUCACUUUAACAAACAAAAACAAUUGCAAAAGUGAAUAUGUUGGUGGAAGAGAAAUAUAUAUAUAGACCAUUUUGAGCACAAAAUUACCAGUUUAUGACUUUGCAUUAAAAUUGGAGGUUGAAUGCGCUCCAUAUUAAACUUAUUUGAGAUUUCAAGAUAUCAAGUAGCCUUGGAUCCUAAAUGCUCAAAAAAGAUGGUUUGAUCAGGGUGAAAUGCUAUAUACACUACAAAGUAAAAUAAAAUCUGAAAAGAUCACUUUUUGUCUGAAUUUGCUUGAACUUUUACUCGACAUUCUUUCUUUGUCUGAAAUAUCUAAAAAAAAUCUUGACAAAGUCUGAAUUUAUCUAAUAAAGUUCUUGAUUUUUCUUGACAUAGGUCGUGACAGUAUUGACUGUCUGAUUAUGUCUUGACAUAUUCUUGACAUUUUUAAUAAUAUCUGAAUAUAUCUUGAUUCAUUUUCAAUGUCUUUAAGCUGUCUGAACAUAUCUCGACACAUUCUUGACGGUCUUAACGAUGUCUUGACACUAUCUCAACCGUGCAAAUUUCUCCUGAAUUGUGUAGAGACACAUUCCUCACAGUUUAAACACUUUCUUUUGCUGUUUUACACUCAUUUCUAUUAUUGCUAAACUAAACUUAGAAGAUUUAGGAUACAAUAAUACAUUGCUAAUUAUAAAAGCCACAUUUUGGCAUAAUAAUUGUUUAUCAACCUUAUUAACAUCGAAUAUUAUGUGAGAAAAAUGAAAUAUGUUUAUAUAAUGAUUGGUUUCAAUCACUUAGCAUUUAUUAAUCAACAUUUAAAAACCCAUUUUUGAAUUGGCUUUAAUCAGCAUAUUCGCAUUUGAUUUUGUUAAUGUUUAAAAUUCAUAGCCAUAAUCAUAUUUAUGAAAAUAUUCAUAUACCCAAAUUUUUUAUUUAUCAAAAUAUUUAUUUAUAUGCCCAACUUUUGUUUUUGUUGAAAUAAAUGUAACUUAAAAUAACAGUAUAUUGUCUAAAGGGAAAUAAUGAUAAAGAUACAUCCUGUACAUGGUUCAUGAUUUGUAAAACUCAGAAUUGUCAAGUAAAUUCAAGACAUAAUUCAAAAUGAUUAGAAUAUGUCAAGACAUACUAAGAAAAAAAUAUGUCGAGAACCUAUCGAGAAAUUUCACGCCAACAUUCAUAAUGUCAAGAAUAUGUCAAGUAAAUUUCAUACAAAUAUAAAUCAGAAACAGUCGAGAAAAAUUAAGACACCUGUCAUUCUUUUGGAGAAUAUGUAAUAAUUGUUCUUGCAAAUUGAGACAAACAUUGUUCUUUUGCAAGCCUACAGCAAUCACCAAAAGCAGUAAACUAUGAUCGUUUAUUAAAGGAUUAUAUUCAGUUUUAAGAAAUUUUUUAGUAUUUUUGAUGACAGACAGUACGUUUAUCUUUACUUUUAACAUUUAGACCUUUGAAUACUUUCGCUAGACAACGGUAAGAUGAGGGGACUGGGUUGUAACCCUUGGCUAGCGAAAUGAUUGAGAGGGAGAGCGAAAAACAGAAAUUAACAAACAAUGAAGUAAUCACUAUGUAAAAUAUUCCCUCGAGCUCUCAGUAUCUUAUUCCUUUACAGGUGAAUUUGAUUUCAUAUCCUUUUUUUCAAGAAGAGCAACUUAAAAGUUUAAACGGUAUCUUAAAAGGGGAUAAUUUGUACAAAAUGUUGAAACAUUCUCAAACUGCAAAAUACAAUAGAUAAAAAUAGGUAGCAAACUCGUGCAAUUAGAUUUUUCUAGGUCUGUUAGAUUUUAUAUUAUAGUUUAAAAUCUUAGGUUAAUCCUCGUUUUUACCUGUAUACGAAUGAGUUUUUAUCGGUCGGAUCAGUCAAUCAAAGCGUUAACUCUUAUUUGACAUUAUUUUCCUUUUAAUACCUGAACACGCCUAAUUCAUACCUAACCCAUCUCUAGCUAAGGCAAUGAGGUCAAAUUAUUAACUUUAAAAAACAUUAUUCAUCAGCAACGUUUUUUACCCUUAUAUUGACAAAAUUGAACCAAAAUGAGGGCUUAAAGCGAAUUAUUAUUUCUCUAUUUCACUUUAAUAAAUGACCGAACUAUUAAAAAUCAUAUUUUAUUUUUUCUUAUGUCUUUAAUAAAUCAAUUACGUAGGUGUUACAACUACAUCGAUUAGUUCAAAAACGUCACAUGCUCUCCGAUCAUUUAAACAAUUAUCAUUUACGAUCUUUAUUUUGAUUCAUUUAUAGUUUAUUGAUGG